rnacentral:lncRNA from 1 species
AUAGAAAAAGUAGAAUUCCUUGGAAUGCUACUUUUUAUCUGGAGCAUUGUGUACUGCAAGUUGCCAAUUUGGUAUUGUGGUGGUUUCAAGGUUUUGAUUCAUGCCCCAAAUUGAUAUACGCGUGGGAGUAUGUUAUUCAUUACAAUUUCUUAUUUCUAUCUUAUUUCACAGUGAAAUACCUAAAAAAAAAAUCAUGGUCGGGAAGAGGGGAAAUAAUUACAGCAGCCAAAGCCAUUGAAAUUUUGAUUUUAUACAUUGAAAAAAUCCGUUUUGUUAUUAAUAGACUAGGAAUGGGAAAAUAAUAACAGAAAGAAAGCAGUCAAUUAGUUAUUCGUCAAAUUUUUAUUUAAUCAAUGACCAGAUUUAAACGAGGGUAUAUAACUCGGAGACAUAGAAUAAAAAUUCAUUUAUUUGCAUCAAGCUUUCGAGGGGCUCAUUCAAUGCUUACUAGAACUAUUACUCAAUAGAAAAUAACAGCUUUAGAUUCGGCUCAUUGGGAUAGGGAUAGGAAAAAGAGAGAUUUUCAUUGUUUGUGGUGUUGGGAUGUAUACUAUUAACCAUAAGUUAAGAUAUAAUAUUUAUUAUAGAAUAAAUAUUGCUCAGUUUUAAUAGAUUAUAUAUUCGUUUAUGGUGUCUGUUUACUUAUAUAGUAGAUGAUUUAGUGUGUAGAGUUUUAGCUUAUACACAGAGAAUUAAAUCAUCGGUUCUUAUAAGUAUAAAGUUUUUUGUUCACAAUCUAGGAUGGAAAUUAGCAUGCCAUCGGUACGAUUGUAGCACAAGAUUAUAUGUAAUUUAUCUUGAUUAUGGGAACGAUGUAGUUCCAACUUCUUGUGCUAGUGCAUUUUGUAUGUAUUGAACGGGAUCGAGUAGAGAUAGUUGUUUUAGACUGGCUGACAAAAAUAUAUUUUCUAAAACUAUUAAAUGUACUUAUAUUCUUAAUCUUGAUAUAACUAUUAUGAUCUGUAUAUUUUAAUUAUCGUUUUGAUUUAUUAAAAAUGUGAGAUUCUGAGAUAAGUCAAUAUGCCUGGUAGAUUGGAUGAUAAUAAUAUAUAUUGGUGAAAUAAUAAGUUAGUUGAUGGAAUUCAUGUCUCUCUAUAGAGAUUGAUUGAUAUGCUUUUUUUGAGAAACUUAUAAGUUUUCAUCGUGUCAAACCUUGCAAGUGGAUUUAUGAAUUUGACACAUGAAAUAAGUUAAGUAGUGCUCUAAAGGAAAUUAAUCAUUAAAUUAAAUUCAUCAGUAAUUUAAUUUAUUGAUUAGUAUUUGUAAUCUUAACAUGGGGAAUUACAUAGGUGUUUAAUGGGAAUUUCGAAAUAUAAAUAGAGGAGUGCAAUUACGAAUUUCUAGUGGAAUGAUUUGUAAUUUAUUAUGGUAAGAAUAAAUUCAAAUUAAUUAUUUGAAUUAUUUCCAUAAUAGGAAGCCUCAGUACCUACAAUGCCCAUAUUUAACUAGAACUCAGAAUCCUAUUUCUUAGGGAAAAAAGAGUCAGGCGUGUGUUUUCUUGUUCUUUCAAGAAAGUUGAUUUUCUUCUCCUUAUUGGAUUGGGAAGAAAUCUCUAUAAAUAGAGAUUCUCCUAACCUAGAAAAAAAUCGAUUAGUUUUCUAUUCGAUACUUGCCCAUCCAAUUAUUGAGAGAGUUCGGAUGUGAACUUGGGAUCACUGAAGAAGAUCAUAGUUGUUGUCUAACUUGGGGGAUUCGCUUGAAGGUAUAUCUCUAGCAUAAACGGUUUUGGUUAUCUAUUAUUCAUGUAAGCAACAUGAUUCCUGUAUGCUUCCGCUGUGCAUAUAGUUUACCAACAUGUGGAUCACUAGGAUUAACACAAUAAUUUGCGAAAGGCGAUUGUUAGAUUAAUAUACUAUCCGUACAAAAGACAGUUAUUUCUUAACCGUAAAAUUGAGGGUUUGCAUCAAGAUCACAUUAAUUUAUAAAGGUUAAGCAAUAAAUUAAAGUGAUACAAUAAAUAUAUUUAUCAAUCAUGAUUAGUACAAAGACACAUGUAUAGAAUUAGAUUAAAGUUAAAUUAAUCCAUAACGUUAAUUAGGCUGGCUUACUCAAAUUCAUAGUAGUGUCUUGAAAAUUCUUAGCAGUGAUAUCUCGACUUCUAUAUGAGAUAGUAAUCUCACCAUUUAUAAUUUUAUUGUUUAAUAGAUAAAAUACUAUAUAUGUUAAUACGACGCUGUCUUAAAACAUGGAGUACAUAUUAUUUAUCCUUAUCUCUCACUUAAACUUUGUUCAUUAUAAUUGUCAAAUUAUUAAACUAUUAUUUGAAGCAUUAAGAUAAUUAAACUUUACUUACUAUACUAUAACAAUAAAAUUAGUUAACGGUAACUAUAUAUUAUGUGUGAAUUGUUCAACGUUUCUUGUUAAUACUCUCACUUUCGCUCUCUUCUUCUCUGUUUCUUUUCUUUUCGAUAAAAUAUGGGGACGAUGAGUAUCGAUGAUGAACAACUCAUUGGGUAUCUUAUCAACCAAAGAAAAUAAUGCGACUACUUCUCUAAUUGUUUGACAUAUGUUUCCUCUACAAUUCGCCAGCACACAUAAUUCAUGAAAACAAGUGCACAUCAUCAGUGAUAGAAAUUAGUUACACUCAGAGGAACCAACAUCAUUGACCACUAGACCACACCCUAUCCUUCUAAAUCUGUCUCUUGCUUAUUUAUUGUAAUCGAUUAGAUAAGGAAAUAACUGAUAUCUUAUUCCAUGAAGUAACAAAAUUAUAUGUAUAAAAUAUAGAAACCUCAACAAUUUGGGCGCUAAUUACAUUCUAUCCUGAAAGUUUCUCAAAUUACAAUAAUUUUGGAUUUUUCAGAACUCACGGAUACAUUGCUCCUUCACCCGAUACAUAACAAAUGGUAGAAAUUUUUAGAGAUUAUGUUAUCUUAUAUCGUGUCAAUAUAUAUUACAAGGAAUAUAACUAUAUUCAUUUUUCAACACUCCCCCUCCAAUUGGAACAUAGAUAUUGAUCAUGUCUAACUUGUUGCAAAGAUACUCAACUCGAGUUUCAUUUAAAGCUUUUGUGAGCAAUUCUACCAGUUGCUCUCCCGUCUUCACAUAACCAGUGACAAGUUAUCCUGAAUCUUCUCACGAAUAAAAUGACAUUCAACCUCAAUAUGUUUAGUUUUUUCAUGAUACAUUAGAGCAACUUGAUUAUCACUAAUCACAUCAAAGUUUUGUCGGUGUAUGAUGCUUCAACUCAAUUUCAAUUAAAAGAUGAUGUUUCCAGAUAAUCUCAUACAUAGACUACCACAUAGCUUUGUACUCAGAUUCUGCACCGGAUAGAAAUAUGACAUUUUGCUCCUUAUUCCUUUAUAAUACUAUGUUCCUUCCAAUAAAGACACAAUAGCCAAUAGUAGGUUUUCUAUUAAUUUUGAAUCCAAUCCGGUCAAUAUUUUGCAAAACACUCAACACGAGUAUGAGCGUGGUUCCUAUACAAUAUGCCAAAUUCAUAAGCUCCUUUCUCCUUUUGGUCUAAAAAUACCAUCAACCCAAAUUUAAUUUAAUUGAACUCCUUUACUACUAAUUAGUCAAUUCAUUUAUUUGUUCUAAAAGACAAAUUUUUAUUUUUACAAAUUCUUAAUUUUAGCUCAUCCCAAAAUAUUUAAAUCAUAUUUGAAAUGAAAAAUAAAUUAUUUAUGUUAUCACACUUUUUAGUAACAAAAACUAAAUCAAAUAAAUCAAAUUUAGCUAAUUAAUAUAUUCAUAGACUUCACCAUUUAUCAUAACACUAACUAAAGAAAAUUUUACUUACUAUACUAAAACAAUAAAAGGCAUAUUUUUAGUUAACGGUCACUAACUAAAAAUUAUGUGUGAGUUUCUAAAAAUGGAUUCCAAUCCUAAAAAAACUCGCUUAAUCCAUUAAUUUACACGGUUUGUCUCUCUAUACAUACCAAAGGGCCAGUUGGAUUUUUUUCUUAAAUAUCCCUUUCUUCUUUGUUUGUUUUUGGUAAAAUAUGGGGAUGGAUUUUGAUGAUGAACAACUCAUGAUCUGUCUUCUAAAAUUUGUUAGUGGUAGCUCUGUUCAAUUUCAACUUGUCGACUUGUAUGGCAACAACAAACCCUCUCAGUUAUUCGAUACCACCACCACCACUACUGCUACUGAAUAUCAUGUCUUUACUCAGUUAAAGAAAAAAAAAGGGAAUGGUAAGAACUUCAACAGGGGAAUUGUUGGUGGUGGCGGCUCAUGGAAAGGAGUUGACAAUAGUAGACCAGUUUACGACAAGAAGAAAUCAGUUAUUGGGUUCAAGAAAACUUUCCGUUUUGAGGAAAAAAAUCAUGUCUGGAUUAUGAAAGAAUAUCGUCUUUGUGAUAAAAUACUCAAGGCCUUAACACUACGUGGUCAUACUCGACAUGAAGAGGAAUUUGUUGUAUGUCGCAUUACGAGGAGCAGCGUCAAUUCUUCUAAGGUUAUCAUCCCUUCAGAUCACAAUGUAGAGAAUUUUCUUGAUUCUCUACUAAUUUCUUCAUUACAAUGUCAAGAAUCCUUUGCUCAGAAUCAAUUUCAAGAUUUGGGACAAUCCUUUGCUCAGAAUCAAUUUCAAGAUUUGGGACAAUCCUUUGCUCAGAAUCAAUUUCAAGAUUUGGGACAAUCCUUUGCUCAGAAUCAAUUUCAAGAUUUGGGACAAUCCUUUGCUCAGAAUCAAUUUCAAGAUUUGGGACAAUCCUUUGCUCAAUAUCAGUUUCAAGAUUUGGGACAAUUAAGUACUCCUAAUGUAAUUCCAUCUGAUGAGUCAAGCAGUAUUUUGAAUGGGAACCAAAUUGGUCCAGUUAGUUUAGUGUUGAAAGAAUCAAAAUUGUCUGCUGUAAUAGAAGAGGAAUGCUCUGUUCCUGUGGUUCAUCAACAAACUCCCUCUGUUAAAGAAGUAGAAUGCUCUGUUUAUGACAUUGCUACUUACCACAAACAACUUGAUGCCUAUGCUGCCUCUGUACUCGAAUCAAUAGUUCCUUACAUUCCGGAACCGCCGCAAGAUGAUGAAGCUGAUUCUAUCCCACCAUUUUACGAAGAUUUUUAUAUCGGUUUCACAGAUUUAUGGAGUUAAGAGUUGGUGACAGUUGAUACAACUCAAGUCUUACAAUUUGUUUGCCCAAUUGUAUUUUAUCUGUCAAUGCACUUUCACUUUUCUUUUUACACCAGUCCUUUACUUUGUGGUUUGGAAUUAUUUUUUUAUGAAAAUAUUUUCUUGUACAUGAAAAGAAAACUGCACGGUUUGGAAAAAAUGCGAUUCAUGGUUAGCUGCAAAUCAACAUCAGUGAUUAAUUACCAUAUGAAUGUCUCUUUGUGUAUAGCCUCUUUUUGGUUCACAUGCUUGUAUUAUGUAUAGAUGACUAGAAAGGCCAUUCCUUUCGAUCCACUCCACACCACAAAAUACCCUUUUCAUCCAGCUCCUUCAAUAUAUAAUUUCUCCUCUCCCUUGGAACCAAACCAAUAUAAAUAUGCAAGAUUAUCACUCAAACAAAUCUGUUGAAUAGCUAUUUCACCAUUUUGUUGAAGAUCACGUGUGAAAAAGAACUUAUGUAACAUAUGUUUUGUUCAAUCUCCUAUGAUGAACUGUUCCUUCAAUUGAGCUAUGCAAGCAAUACUAUCUUCAUACAAUAUUGUUGAAACCUUUGUUUUUAAAGAAAGCCAUAUAAUUGUAAAGUAUGCUGAGUUAUUGACCUUAACCAUACACACUCUCAAUUGCCUUUAAAAUAAGGCAUACUACAUUAAUAAGACCCUUAACUUGACUUCAAAUUUAACUUUGACCUUAAACUUUCAAAGUGCACGAAGAGGCACUUUAACUAUCCAACUCUUAAAUUAAAAAACACUCGAACAUUGCAGCCCAGACGCGUGAAAUGUUGACGCUCCAACGUGGAUUAGUGAGUCACUCAAUGACAACUAAUUAAAAAAAAUUACACAUAGAUAUUAGAAUUUAAAAAAAAAACUAAAUUAAUAUUCAAAUUAAUACAAUGGUAUAGGGUGAAAGACUCUUCCAUUUUACCCUGUUUCUCUCUCAAAAUCGCAAAACUCUAGUUGGGGAUUUACAACCAAAAUCGUGAAUCAAGGGAAACAUCAUUCAAGAUUUGUGCCAAAAGUUCAUAUACACUGAUGUUUAUCUGUUCAUCUUCCUCAACUUAGUCCAAGUGUGUUUAAUUUUACACCUUUGAAAGUUUAUUUUUGAUAGAAAGGUUCAUAUAUUUGAAAUGGGUUUUUUUAAUUCUAGAGUUGGAUAGUUAAAGUGCAUCUUUGUGCACUUUGAAAGUUUAAGGUCGAAGUUAAAAUUUGAAGCCAAGUUAAUGGUCCUUUUAUGUGUUAUGCCUUGAAAUAACUCUUAUCUCUACAUUCUUUGAAGAAGUGACAAUUAUUAUUUGUUUCAUCGAACAUCAUGAUAUAAAUAUAUCAUGUACCUCCAUAUAAAAAUAAAUAGUUUGUCUGAGAUCAGAUUUUAUCUAGGUUAGAUAAAUCACAUCUACAUAAUUAAUCAUCUCUGACUUGAAUACAUAAGAAUAAAACAAUCUCAUAUCAAUUGAUCCUCAAAGAAGUCUAAAUAUAUUCUUAAUACUUUUUCAAUGUCUUCUUGUUGGAGAGAAGCUAAAUCACACCAAUAAACUUACUCUAAAACAAAUACAUGACCUGGUAUUGUUGGCAAGGUACACUAAUGUCUCGAUAGCACUGAGAUAUGAAGUUUCUUCACCAAGAAGCUUUUUAUUCGUUUCUUGAGGUCAUAAUGAAUUUUUAUUUAUAUCAAGCGAUUUCACUUUAAUGGACGUGAUUUGUCCAUGUAAAAACGCCUUAAAACAUUUUCAGUGUACAUAUAUUAAACAUUGUAUUUAUCAAAUUCUCAAUGUGUAGUCCAAGAAAUUAUUUUAUCUUUACCAAGAUCUCAAUCAUUUUAAAUUCCUACUUCAAACACUCAAUAUUUUUUGAAAGCUCUUUUGAGAGUGCCAUCAACAUACAUAGGUAAGGAUUCCUGAAGCGUUUCUUGUUAAUUUUCAGCACAAAAUUAGUCAACGGUAACUAUAUAUUAUGUGUGAAUUGUUCAGCUUUUCUUGUUAAUUUUCAUUCUAUAUUAUCCUUACUCACUCUCGCUCUCUUCUUUCUUUUCUACUCCUCUGUUUCUUUUCUUUUCGAUAAAAUAUGGGGAUGAAUAUUGAUGAUGAACAACUCCUCAAGUAUCUUAUCAAUUUUGUUACUGGAAUGCCCGUUGAAUGCGAUGAAAUUCGUCUUGUAGACUUGUAUGGCAACAAGAUGCCAUCUCAGUUAUUUGAUACGACUACUACUAAUCAUCAUCAUCAUGUCUUUACUCAGUUAAAGAAAAAAAAAAGGAAUGGUAAGAACUUCAAUAGGGGAAUUGUAGGUGGCGGCGGCUCAUGGAAUGGAAUUAACAGUAAACCAGUUUAUGACGGGAAAAGAUCAGUGAUUGGGUUCAAGAAAACUCUCCGUUUUGAGGAAAAUAAUCAUGUCUGGAUUAUGAAAGAAUAUCAUCUUUGUGAUAAAAUACUAGAGGACUUGAGACUACAUGGUAAAAUUCGAUAUGAGGAUUUUGUUGUAUGUAGCAUUAGGAGGAAAGUCAAUUGGGAUCACAUUCGACAGAAUCUUCUUGCCAGUUCUUCAUCACAAUGUCAAGAAACUGUGAAAUCCAGUGCUGCUAAUGUAAUUCCAUCUCAGGAGUUAAACAGUAUUUUCAAUGGGAACAUCAGUCAAGUUAGUUUACUUGCAAAAGAAUCAAAAGUGACCCAAUUGCCUGCUGCAAUACAAGAAGAAUGCUCUGUUCCUGUGGUUCAUCCGGAAACUCCCUCUGUUAGUUUCGGCGCAAUAGAAGAAGAAUGCUCUGUUCCUGUGGUUCAUCAAGAAACUCCCUCUGUUAGUUUCGCUGCAAUAGAAGAAGAAUUCUCUGUUCCUGUGGUUCAUCAAGAAACUUCCUCUGUUAGUUUCGUCGCAAAAGAAUCAAAUGUGCCUGCUGCAAAAGAAGUAGAAGAAUGCUCUGUUCCUGUGGAAACUCGUCCGGAUUAUGACAUUGCUACUUACCACAAAGAACUUGAUGCGUAUGCUGCCUCUAUACUCGAAACAAUGGUUCCUUACAUUCCAGAAGUGCAAGAAGAUGAGGAUGAAAUCCCACUUUUCAGCGAAGAUUUUUAUAUAGGUCAUACAAAUCUGUGGAGUUAGAGUAAUCCGUGAUGGUUAAUACAACUCAUUCUUUGAAGAAUUGUAUAUGUUUUUGAUUAUUUUUUUUUUAUCUGUCAAUGCAUUUCAGUUUUCUUUUACACCAGUCCUUUAGUUUGUGGUUUCUGAAAUCAAAUUGGGUUUCUUUGAUUAACUUUUGGCGCGAUUAGUGGUAAGACGAGAUUUGAACCAUGAGAUUAAGGGGGUAGGAAAUGGUGUAGAUAAUGAGCCGUGGCAGGUCAUAUAUGGCACCUGAGCAAUUAACAGCCUUCACAUGUACUAUAUAGGCUAAUGCACAUCAAAACCAGGAAAAUAGAGAAGAACAUCUCAUGGAUAUCAUGAUUUAUUGAUCAUUUGCAUCUCUGUUACAAUUGCUUUCACGAGAUAUUGCAUAUGUAUAAAAUGAUAUGUUAACAUUUAUUAGUUUCAAAGAAUGUCGAUAUCGUUAUCUCUCUUCUCCAUACCACCAACAUGGCAACCAUGUCGCUGAGGUUUUUCAGGGUUAUCUGAAUCAGAAUCACUUGCUUCAACGAAAAGGCCUUCGAGACAUCUUCUUCUGAUUGUUGGUUUGUAUGUAUGUUUCUGGGCACGGGUAACAUUAUAUUCGGCCUUGUGUGCCUACGAUAUCCACUCUUCAGAAAAUUAAUCAAAGCGCAGUCACCACUUUGAUCAACAGUACUCUGUCAGAAAGGUUUUACCUAUGAUAUCCGCUCUUCAGUAAAUCUACAUUACCAGGUUUUCAAUGAAUUCUUUAUAUACAUCAAGUCAAAACUAACUCUUCCUUCUAGUGUGGCUGCCUGGACCACAACGAAGCCACUAUGUUUCACUGUCUCUCAAGGUAACAUAUGGUGCAUCUCAUCAGUAUCUUUGGCUUGAUUAUUAUGUAUCAACUCAAAUGCAUGUGUUCAAACAUUGGUGAAAUCUGUCCCUGUCUGAAAUGCAUGUGGCAAACCCACCUUUAGAUUAUUCUUUUAUACUAGUGGUGUUCAUGUCAGCCUAUGCGUACCUCAACUAUUCCAUCAGGUACCUGUUGCCUCUCACCAAUAUAGAUACCGAGAGUGAUCAGUAGAAUCUGGAGAUUAUUCAAUGUCAUCACCCAUGUUAUUAUCACUGCCUAAUUUGUCAUACUUUGGCCUUUGCUCAUAUUGCAUCCAUCUUUGAUUCUCUCUAAACCAUGACCCCGGGGUUCUUGCAUUUUGUGCUACUAGAGAUUUUAGGUAUUGGAAAAGAGUCAUACUUGAACUUUAACAAUCAAAGCUCAGUUAGCCUUUCUCUCAAGCUCUUUGAAUGCCAUUUUCAACUUCUUCUGUGCAAGCAGUGUAGGCAUAUUAUCACAAUUUGGUUUGUACAAGUGAGUUUGGGUUUGAGAUUAUGGUCGUUUCAAGGUUUUGAUUCAUGUCCCAAAUUAGGCUUGCUUACUCAAAGACAAGGUAUCUCUGCCUUCUAUAUGAGAUAGUAACUAAUUAAUUGAUCAUCUUAUCGAUAAAAUACUAUACGUCUUAAGAUAAUAUUAUCUUAGUUAAUGAAACGAACAAAACAAUGAGAACCAAAAACUGUUCAAUGGUUGAUUGUGUGACUUAUGUUGUCUAGGUUUACACCAAAGCUCGACGGUUCAAAGAUAUCAAAUCUACUGAUUGACCGAGUAUAUCCGAUAUAUGUUCACUACGGAAAGUUUAAAGGGAAACCUACUUAUCCAGAUGCAAUCAAUCCUUACUUACGAAUCACACAGUUUUUCAUGCAUAUGUUUUAACAUAGUCAUUCCCUAUUCAUGUGGGGAUUGUUGGGUUUUAAAGGUGUGAACAGGAAAUGAGGGUUGUGACUCUCCUGAAGAGUUGUGACUAUGCCGAAGGGUUAUGAUCUUUAUGAAAGGUUGUGUCCUUUCUAAAGGGUUGUGACCGUUUGAAAGGGUAUGCUUUUUUCAAAGUGUUGUGACCUUUCUGAAAGGUUGUCUUCUUUCCAAAGGGUUGUGAUCUUUACCCUUUGUUGGCUAUAAAUAGAGAGGUUUUCUCUCAUUUUUCUGCAUCGAAUUCUUCCCUUCUUUUGCAUACAUUUCUUACAAAACAAAAUCGAUUGAUCGUGUCUAUGUGUGUGAUUCGUUGCUGUCAUUUUGAGUUCGUUGAAAUUAUCGAAGUUUGAGGUACCGCUACUUCUUUAAUGGUUAAUCCGUUUUAUCUUGGGAGGAAUUAAUCUGCAACCUUGGGUACUUGAGGGGAUUAAAUUUCUUAAGGAUACACAGUGGGUUCUGUGGACUCAGAUAGUUCUUUGUGUUUUUUUUCAUCUUUUAUUAUUUCUGGUUUGCUAAUCUGAAUACAGGAGACAACAAGCUUAAGAAAUUUAAUGUUGGCAUUUUCUGUGAUAAGGAAACUACUUCUAUUUUCUGUGUUCUUUUUAUUGGGGAUAGAAAAAGAAGAAAAGGAGAAUUAUGUUAUCAUAUGAUAAAAGAGACUUGGGAUGAAUUAGUAGUACUUUAAUAUGUUCGAGUAUAUUUUUUGUAGUAAGUUUUCCUUGAAUGGGUAAGAUUAUUUUUAUUUUCUUCCCAAGUGCAUUCAAGCAUUGCACUCCUUUAGUUUCUUUCAAUGAGAAAGCUAUUUUGUGCAUAAAGGCUAAGAUGAGCACUUUAAUUUUUUCCCUAUAUUCUUGGUUUUAUAUAACUAUGAGAAUAAGUAAUGAACAAAUGUUGUCUCCUAACAAUAUUUGAACAUGAGUUUAGUUUCUUGUUGAAAUUAAAUGUCUUCUUAAGGAAAAUAGGAAUAUGAUGGAAACUGAGAAAAGAAAUAAAAAAUNNNNNNNNNNNNNNNNNNNNNNNNNNNNNNNNNNNNNNNNNNNNNNNNNNNNNNNNNNNNNNNNNNNNNNNNNNNNNNNNNNNNNNNNNNNNNNNNNNNNNNNNNNNNNNNNNNNNNNNNNNNNNNNNNNNNNNNNNNNNNNNNNNNNNNNNNNNNNNNNNNNNNNNNNNNNNNNNNNNNNNNNNNNNNNNNNNNNNNNNNNNNNNNNNNNNNNNNNNNNNNNNNNNNNNNNNNNNNNNNNNNNNNNNNNNNNNNNNNNNNNNNNNNNNNNNNNNNNNNNNNNNNNNNNNNNNNNNNNNNNNNNNNNNNNNNNNNNUUUUUUUUACUCCUUUGGUUUGAAGAAUAUAAGAACUUCACGAACAAAUCAGAUUGUGCAUUGGUUUGAAGAAUAUAGAAACUUCACCAAUUUGUUAAAUACUCUGUUUGAAUGAAUAUUCUGACUUGAAGAGUACAAAAUCUUCGUCAGGAAUAUUAAGGCUAAAUGAUUUGAAAAAGAUAAAAUCUUCAUCGUUAGCUCGAAACAGUGUUGUAUUUGAGGUUUCUGGAGAUUAAAACCUUUUUGGUUUACUACUCUGUCUGAAUGUGAAACUGAUUCGAAGAAUAUUAAAACUUCAUCAGAAUUCAAGGUUCAUUCGGUUAACGAUUAGAAGAAUAUAAAACUUCAUCGUUAAACUAGAAACAAGUUGUAUAAAGAUUAAAUCUUUAUUGUUAGUAUUCUAAUUACUAAGUGGUUUGUCCAGUUGUGACAAAAAGGAAAAAAAUAAAAAUACUAGUGACAUAAAAUUAGUGGUUUUUGUGCCUGCAAUGAGUGUUUAUAUGGAUUAAAUCUCCAAAAGAAAGUUUCGUGUUGCCAAUAUGUAUUUUGAUGGUAUACAAUAUGAAAGCAUGGGAAAAAANNNNNNNNNNNNNNNNNNNNNNNNNNNNNNNNNNNNNNNNNNNNNNNNNNNNNNNNNNNNNNNNNNNNNNNNNNNNNNNNNNNNNNNNNNNNNNNNNNNNNNNNNNNNNNNNNNNNNNNNNNNNUAUAGACAUGAACAUUGGUGAAAAAUGAUCUGUUAUGUUUGUUAUGUAAAACAAACAUUUGGGUCAUAUUGCGCUUAUUGGAUUGAUGAGACUAUGUUCAUGGGUAAUUCUAUAGCAAAUUGAAUGUUAUGGAAAGGUCCUCUAAAAAGGACAUAUGGCAAGGUGUUGACACUAAACCAAUGUCUGUAUUUGAGAAAGUUAUAAAAAGUAAAGAACAAAAUAUUUGUGGGAAAAGGUUACCUCACAGAAGGUUUUUUCAAACUUAGUAUUUCAGUUUGUUCUUACUUGCUUGAAUCAAAUUGUUUGUGACAUAAAUGCUUGGGACAUGUCAAUUACAAAACCUUGCAAAGAUCAACUUAGAAGUUUUGCCUAACUUCUAGUGCAAUAAAUCAAAAUGUGAAGUAUGUUUUGUUGAAAGGAAUUUUAAUACCUUAGAAUUGAUUUAUACUGACAUUUGUGAUAUGAAGUCAACACCAUCUCGUGGUGGGAAAAAGUGUUUACAUAAAUUUUAUUAACAAUUGCAUUAGAUAUUGUUAUGUUUAUUUGCUGAAUGGUAAGGAUGAAGCAAUAGAAACAUAUAGGCAAUAUAAAAUUGAAGUUGAAAAUCAGUUGGAUAAAUUUUUUUGUCAUGGUUAGAAGUGGUAGAUGUGGAGAAUAUGAAUCUUCUUUUGUAGAAAUAUAUUUGGAAAAUGGAAUUAUCCAACCAAUUACUGCACAUUCUCACCUCAAUCUAAUGAAAUUGUUGACAGGAAAAAACCGAACUUUGAAAGAAAUGUUGAAUGUCCUAUUUUAUAAGUUCAGGUUUGCCACAAAAUUUGUGCGGGGUGCUAUCAUUAUAGCAAAAGAGAACAACAAAAAGUUUGUCUGUUCAGAAAGAGAGAAACAAAAAGUUUUGUUUGUUAGUAAAGAGAGUAACAAAAUUUUAUUUUAUUUUUUUAAAAAAACUUUUGUUUGUUAAGAAAGGGAGCAACAAAAAGUUGUGUUUGUUCAUGCUUUGUUGUAUCCUGAUAGAGAAUUGUUUGUCCUCCCUUAAAGUAUAUACAAGCAAUAACUCUUGAAAAAUGGUGAUCUAACAAUUUCCAAUACAGUUUAUUCCAUAUGAGAAAUGGAAAUGAGGGAACUACUCCCAAAAGGGUCAAAAUAGGACCUAAGACUGUGAGAGUUAAUUUGCAAUAGGUAGGGCAUGGAGCAUGAUGUAUAACGGAAAGUCUCGUCAUAUAUGACGUAGACAUAAUAUCGUUAGAGAACUACUCUCUAGUAGAAUUAUCAUAAUUGACUAUGUAAAGUCAAAUGAUAAUGUGUCGGAUCCACUUAUAAAAUGCCUAACUAGAGAGGGAGUUGAUAGAUUAUCAAAGGGAAUGGGACUAUGACUAAGAACAAGUCAUUGUGGCGGUAACUCUACCUAGAAGACUGGAGAUCCCAAGAUCUAGGUUCAAAGAGAUCAAACAAAGUCAUUGAUGACGGUUCAACAUUGUCAAAAUAUUUUUUAUGGUCCAUUCUCAUGAUAAGACAAUGUUCAGUAACAAGGAUAAAGGCAUUAGGACUUUUUAAUGAUUUCUAAGUUUGAUACAGGUUAUAUCAAAUGGUGUAUCUACGGGAUAACACAUUUAGAAAUCAUCUAUGUAAGUGUGAAGUGUAAGCCGCUUCAAGGAGAAUCCGGUAAGGCCAGUUCUCUACGCACUUAUAAACCGAGACGUGUUCAUGGCUGAAACGAAAAAAACAAUGAGAACCAAAAACAGUUCAAGCGUUGAUUGUGUGACUUAUGUUGUCUAGGUAUACACCAAAGCUCGACGGUUCAAAGAUAUCAAAUCUACUGAUUGACCGAGUAUAUCCGAUAUAUGUUCCCUAUGGAAAGUUCGAAGGAAAACCCACUUAUCCAGAGGCAAUCAAUCCUUAAUUAUGAAUCACACAGUUUUUCAUGCAUAUGUUUUAACAAUAGCCAUUCCCUAUUCAUGUGGGGGAUUGUUGGGUUUUAAAGGUGUGAACAGGAAAUGAAGGGUUGUGACUCUCCUGAAGAGUUGUGACUAUGCCGAAGGGUUGUGACCUUUAUGAAAGGUUGUGUCCUUUCUAAAGAGUUGUGACCGUUUGAAAGGGUAUGUCUUUUUCAAAAUGUUGUGACCUUUCUGAAAGGUUAUCUUCUUUCCAAAGGGUUGUGACCUUUACCCUUUGUUGGCUAUAAAUAGAGAGGUUUUCUCUCAUUUUUCUGCAUCGAAUUCUUCCCUUCUUUUGCAUACAUUUCUUACAAAAUAAAAUCGAUCGAUCGUGUCUCUGUGUGUGAUUCGUUGCUGUCAUUUUGAGUUCGUUGAAAUUAUCGAAGUUUUGAGGUACCGCUACUUCUUUUAAUGGUUAAUCCGUUUUAUCUUGGGAGGAAUUAAUCUGCAACCUCGGGUACUUGAGAGAUUAAAUUUCUUAAGGACACACAGUGGGUUCUGUGGACUCGGAUAGUUCUUUGUGUUUUUUUUUUCCAUCUUUUAUUAUUUCUGGUUUGCUAAUCUGAAUACAGGAGACAACAGUUAACACCAAUAUUAUUAUUCUUAUCCCACGUAUCUCACUCAAACUUUGUUCAUUAUGAUGUAAUCUAUUUCACGAAGCACUAAAAUAAUCAAAAUUUUACUUCAUGUACUAUUAUAUUACAAAAAAAAGGCAUAAAAUUAAUUAACGGUAACUAUAUAUUAAAAAGAUAAAUUUAGCAACAAAUAUUAUUCAAUACUAAUGAAUUGAACGUAUCCAAUUUAUUGAAAAAGUUGUAUAUAUAUUUUCUCUAGAAUUAUCUUAGUCACCAACUAAUUAAUGAGAGGAAAUACUCUCCUGUCGUAAAUAGGAUACCGAAAACAAAGACCAACUGUGAAUCCUUUCUAUUUUUGGUAAAAGAUAAUUAAAGUCCUAAUUGUCUCAUACUAAUGAUUUUUAUUUAUAUUUAAAUAUUAAAAGACAAAAAAAAGUUACCUAAAAUAGUUAUCCCAGUUCCGAAUCAUAGAAGAAGUCGGAAGUAGUUCAGCGUUAGUUUCUCUAUAUAUUAUAUACGUAAGUUGAAGUCUUUCUACGAUAACUCUUAAGGUAAAAUAUGGAGAUGAAUAUUAAUGAUGAACAACUCAUGAUCUCUCUUCUUAAAUUUGUUAAUGGUGUUUCUGUUCAAAUUCAAUUUGUCGACUUGUAUGGCAAUAAUAAACCUUCUCAGUUAUUUGAUACUACCACUACUACUACUACUACUGAAUAUCAUGUUUUUACUCAGUUAAAGAAAAAAAAGGGGAAUGGUAAGAACUUCAACAGGGGAAUUGUUGGUGGUGGUGGCUCAUGGAAAGGAAUUGACAUUAGUAAACCAGUUUAUGACUGGAAAAAAUCAGUGAUUGGGUUCAAGAAAACUUUCCGUUUUGAGGAAAAUAAUCAUGUUUGGAUUAUGAAAGAAUAUCGUCUUUGUGAUAAAUUCCUAAACGCCUUAAUAAAAAGUGGUCGUAUUCAGGAGGAAUUUGUUGUAUGUCGCAUUACAAGGAGUGUCAAUACUUCUUCUCAGGUUCUCCCAAUUUCUUCAUCACAACCACAACAAACUGUGAAAUCUUUUGUUCAAGAUUUGGGACAAAUCAGUGCUUCUAAUGUAAUUCCAUCUGAUCAGUUAAACAGUAUUUCGAAUGGGAACAUCAGACAAGUUAGUUUAGUCACAGAAGAAUCAAAAUUGCCUCAAGGCUCUGUUCAUCAAGAAACUCGUCCUCAUUAUGACAUUGCUACUUACCACAAACAACUUGAUGCAUAUGCUGUCUCUGUACUCGAAACAAUGGUUCCUUACAUUCCGGAACCACCACAAGAAGAUGAAGUUGAUUCCAUCCCACUUUUCUCCGAAGAUUUUUUUAUUGGUUAUACAGAUCUCUGGCUUAAGAGUUGGUCAUAGUUGACACAACUCAACUCUUACAAUUUUCUUUGCAAGAUUUUAAAUUUUAUCUAUCAAUGUACUUUCAGUUGUGGUUUCUUAAUUUGGUUUAGAAUUAUUCUUUUAUGAAAAUAUUUCUUAAAAGGUCUUAUACAUGAAAAUUAAACCACAUUGUUUAAAAAAUAAUCUAUUGAUGGUUAGCUGCAUGCAUGAAACACUAAGAAUAAGUUCCUUAUGGGUUUUCAUCCACAAGUAAUUAUACCACUAAGGCUAACUGAUCUGCUACACUACAUAUUUAUAACAAUAACACCAAGAAAAUUAGAGUUUGACAAUUUGAUGACUUCUGGUCAAUGUGAACUAGAAUGGAAGCACUGAGGAGGAGAUGGAAGUCUUGUUAAACUAUGACUGACGUGAACUGUUGUUACUUACACCAAGUCCAGUGAUUCAUCUAUUUCACUAUAACAAAUAACCAAAUCUUAAUGUUAAAAAAAAUGGAAACCUACCAGUUUACAAGUUCAGUGAUUCAUCUAAUUCACUAUAACAAAUAACCAAAUCUUAAUCUUAAAAAAGAAAGGAAACCUACAGUUUACAGCACGCGGUUGUUGCUCUCACUAGUAUAUAUACACACAUACACGAAAAUAUGAAGAGGUCAGAGCCAAUGCAUGUAAUCUCAAGUCACCUGCGAUGAUAGGUCAAACAAGGUCACACUAAUAAGUGACUACUUGGAACUCUUAGCCUUCUUAUCAGCUGCAGCAGCUUUAGCAGCAGAUUUGGCCAGGGCAGUGGGCUUCAAGGCACUUUUGGGGUUCAGUGCCUUUCUGAUCUUAAAAACAGCCCAGGCAGUCCCAAAAGCAUGCCCGGCAGCAUCAAGCCCUUCACUGGUUGCAUUAGCUGCUUCUUCUCCAUACCUACAAAACACAAAUUUCACUUUUAAUUCAGAACUGAACCAUUAGAGCUUCAUGUCUUUGUCUUAGUCUAUAACCCCACUGAUAGUGUGUAAUAGCACUUAGUUGAGUGCUUCCCUCAUGCCCAUACUAUCGUGAAGAGUAAGAGAACGUGACAAAAUAAAUGAUAAUGUAUUGCGAUUGAAAGAUGGAGGUCUGUUACCAUAUGAAUGUCUAAUUUUGGUUUCUAGUAAAUAACAGAAAAAAAACAUAUCUAGCCAAGAUAACUGAUCAAUUACUUAAUCUAGCCGUCAGCAAUGCUUAAGUAGUAAAAAGGCUAGGAGAAGAGAAGUUUUUCUUUGGCAAUUUUGCAGAUAUGUAAAACUCUAAGAUAACUAAGCUUCACCUGUGAGAAACAAAUUCAGUUGUCACAGUGCCUGAUGUAGACAUCACAUUCUUUCCAGCUACUUCAACGGCAUCACAUAUUCUGCCUAUUAACAAGAAUAUCUGCAUUAGACUUCUUCCAAAUUAAGUCACUAACUUGUAAACAAAAAACAAAUAAAUUGCAUCUACUUCUGUGAAAGACAAAUUGCAUUGCUGUGAGAACCAGUGCAUUUACUUGUGUUGAAACCACCAAACAUCAUCUUUCGGGUCCUCAAUAUACAUAUUGUACUCUAACUGAAACACAAGCAAGAUGCAUAAAGUUAAUGUUCUUGUCACCCUUAUGCCACCUGGCAUCCUGAGUGAGAGGGGUUGGGGGAGGAAGCAGGAGCCCCCCAGUGACCCAAACAUAAAAUAGUUACUCAAAGUAGUCUGUUUGACAGCCCGAAUGGGGAUGACUUGAUCCCUUUUCAUGCAGAAAAGUGCUUCGACCAAGCUUGUCAUUAUAUCCUAAAUCGUCUACGGGUGAUCAACUCAUUCUUGCCAUGAAGGACAAAAAUUUAAAAACAACCACAAGAAUCCAGAGACAUAAAUAAUGAGCAGAAAUUCCCCCUUAUAUCAAUGAAUUAUACUGCACUCUCCUCCAUUCAAACAUUACAUACUACACCAUUGUGCACGGCACCGAUUUUUGCUAAAUUCCUGUAGCAUGCAGCAGUAAUACUAUGUCUAAUCUAGGAAAAUUGAUUACAUGUUUCAUUUUUUAAUUGAACGAUUAGCUGAGAAAGGAAAGGAGGGGAAUGGGAGCGAUAAAGAUUUUAAAGAUUUUAAAGGACUUUAGAAAGAGAAUAAAAGGAGAGAUGGGAAGGGCACUGAAAUAAAGAUUGAAUCUUGUAUCACCUAUAUCUAAACAGCAAAACUAGAAAAUUGAACCUGUUUUAUUCACACUGGGGUAAUCUAAAAGGGGAACUUUGUGAAUAAAAUGAGUUACAGUUAAAUGUUGAAUUAUACGAUAAGAAAUCCAACGAAACAAUAGACUAUAACCGAAAUCCUUAAUUGAAAGAUCAAUAACUCAAGGCCUCCAAAGCCAGUAGUGGUGUUCAAAGAUAUCCAAUAAACCGAGAAAAGAACUUGACUAGUGGUUUGGUCUGACUUGGUUUGGUGUUGGAAAGAAAAACCUGACCAUAAUUAUUUUAUUUGGUUUUAACUAGAAAAAGUCAAAGCGAAACCAAAUCAAACGGACAAUAUAUUUAUACAACAUACCCAGUGUAAUCCCCCAAGUGGAGUCUGGGGAGGAUGAUAUGUAUGCAAACUUUACCCCUACCUUGUGAAGGUAGAGCGGCGGUUUCCAAAAGACCCUCGACUCAAGUAAAGCAGAUAUAUUGAUACAAAUUUUAUAAAUAUUUUAUACUUUAAACAUUUAUUGUGUAAUAUAAUUUGUAAGUAUUUGUUACACUUUUUCAAAAUUCAUGUUUCUUAACAUAUUACUUCAAGUUUUAGCUUACAAUUUUUGAUGGUACAAUAAGUUUUUAUAGAAUUAUAGCCUAUAAACAUCUGGUAACUCAAAUAAAACCCAAGUCAAACAAUGUUCAUUUUCAUUAUCUCUUAUAAAUAGUACUUGUUUUAUGGGUUUUCAUCAUCUUUGUGGUUGGUGACACUAUAUUUGGAAGUAUUAGUAACAAGUUUUGUGUUGCGGAGACUAUACUGAAAACCCUGCAAAAAAAAAAAACCCGAAAAAUCCAAGAUCGAAAAACCCUCAACUCUUGUUGGUUUGAUUUGCCCCCUUAGCUCUUACAUGGGUUAUAUGGGAGGAGAGAAGUAGGAAAGUUUUUGAAGGGAGUAAAAAUGACUCUGUAUAUUUGAGGUAGUCUCUUGUUUAUAACUUAUUUUUGGUUCACUUGCUUGUAUAUAUGAUUGUGUAACUUUUGUAGAGAAACAUGUUCUAUAGCUGAGUCUCUACUUUUUGGUAUACUGCUUGCAUAGAGGAAUUUUCCCAAUAAUUUAUCUACCUUAUCCCCCAAAGAAAAUGCGACUAAUUUUCUGAUUGUUUUAUAUAUGUUUCCUCUACAAUUCCCCAGCACUCUUUAUUCAUGAAAACAAGUGCACUUUACAAGAGGCUUUCUUUUUUCUCAUGUCAUUUUAUUUUACCUUUUUUUUUCUAGGAGACAAGGUUAAAUUAUUGUUUGAAAGUUUCAAGAAUGGGUCGCUUAUUGAGUACAGGAAAAGAGGAAGAAUUAGGAGAAAAGGAAAAGAAUAUAAUAUCACUCAUUGUUGCUGAUGUAUAUGCACUGAAUAUGCUAUUUUGCUGAAUGGUAACACUGUAUAAUAAAUAAAUGUUUUUUCAGUUUAACUUAGUUCAUUUACUUUAAGAAAAUCUAUUAAGGUUUAUUCCUUUCCCAUCAGACAUGUCCUUGACGCUAUGAACGGCCCUAUACAGUCUAAACAUGAUAUCUUAGCUAAUCCAUUUGACUGUGAUAAUGAUAAUAUAGGUGCUACAAAGCUACAGUUGAAUUUCUUUUUUGUGACCUGAAGCAGCUGGGGAAGAAAAGGUAGAAAAGCAAAUAGCGGAACUUAUAGACAUACAAAUUCCACAAAAUUGGUCAGAACAGAGAGAAACCAAAAGACGUGACUUACUAAAUCCAUCAAGAGUGGCAAGAACCAUUUCCCCUGGUAGGAGGCUAAAGAACUUUUUUCCUGCUUUGGUAUUUGCAAGGGACCUAGUAAAGAAUCCUGAAACCUUCACAGCUCCAGAUAGGACUCCAACUGCCACUUUCUCCGUCAUUUUUGUCACUCGCUUAACCCUGAAAAAAACAUUCGAAGAAAUAAGUCGGUCUUUUUUUUAAUGGGUAAAAGCUUUUAUCCAUAUGGUACCGAGAUGGUACAGGACCAAGUACAAGACAAAGCUACAUCAUCUCCACCACAUUCAUACUACAUAUUCCCCCCNNNNNNNNNNNNNNNNNNNNNNNNNNNNNNNNNNNNNNNNNNNNNNNNNNNNNNNNNNNNNNNNNNNNNNNNNNNNNNNNNNNNNNNNNNNNNNNNNNNNNNNNNNNNNNNNNNNNNNNNNNNNNNNNNNNNNNNNNNNNNNNNNNNNNNNNNNNNNNNNNNNNNNNNNNNNNNNNNNNNNNNNNNNNNNNNNNNNNNNNNNNNNNNNNNNNNNNNNNNNNNNNNNNNNNNNNNNNNNNNNNNNNNNNNNNNNNNNNNNNNNNNNNNNNNNNNNNNNNNNNNNNNNNNNNNNNNNNNNNNNNNNNNNNNNNNNNNNNNNNNNNNNNNNNNNNNNNNNNNNNNNNNNNNNNNNNNNNNNNNNNNNNNNNNNNNNNNNNNNNNNNNNNNNNNNNNNNNNNNNNNNNNNNNNNNNNNNNNNNNNNNNNNNNNNNNNNNNNNNNNNNNNNNNNNNNNNNNNNNNNNNNNNNNNNNNNNNNNNNNNNNNNNNNNNNNNNNNNNNNNNNNNNNNNNNNNNNNNNNNNNNNNNNNNNNNNNNNNNNNNNNNNNNNNNNNNNNNNNNNNNNNNNNNNNNNNNNNNNNNNNNNNNNNNNNNNNNNNNNNNNNNNNNNNNNNNNNNNNNNNNNNNNNNNNNNNNNNNNNNNNNNNNNNNNNNNNNNNNNNNNNNNNNNNNNNNNNNNNNNNNNNNNNNNNNNNNNNNNNNNNNNNNNNNNNNNNNNNNNNNNNNNNNNNNNNNNNNNNNNNNNNNNNNNNNNNNNNNNNNNNNNNNNNNNNNNNNNNNNNNNNNNNNNNNNNNNNNNNNNNNNNNNNNNNNNNNNNNNNNNNNNNNNNNNNNNNNNNNNNNNNNNNNNNNNNNNNNNNNNNNNNNNNNNNNNNNNNNNNNNNNNNNNNNNNNNNNNNNNNNNNNNNNNNNNNNNNNNNNNNNNNNNNNNNNNNNNNNNNNNNNNNNNNNNNNNNNNNNNNNNNNNNNNNNNNNNNNNNNNNNNNNNNNNNNNNNNNNNNNNNNNNNNNNNNNNNNNNNNNNNNNNNNNNNNNNNNNNNNNNNNNNNNNNNNNNNNNNNNNNNNNNNNNNNNNNNNNCCCCAAACCCUAAUAUAUCCAAAAAAAAUCCAAAUAUUGGUCCCAUCCUAUCUAGACUGUCAUAACACCAAAAACAAGUCUUUGAUACAUCUAUUUUUUACUCUAGCAAUCUGCGGUCUUCUCCCCUCAAAGCAUGUCUUGUGUCUUUCCAGACAAACAGUCCAAAAUAUGCAAAUGGGAAUAGUCCUCCUUAUCUAUUUCACACUUCUCUUGACUCUUUGAGCUCGCCAAACUUCCAACAGAUUACUGAUCUUCUGUGGUAUAACCAAAGACACACCCAUAAUGUUCAGAAACAAUUCCGAGCAUUGUCUUGAGGAACUGCAAAGUAGGAACAAAUGCGCACUGUUUCCUGCUUCCUGUUACAAUAAAAACAUCUGCUGCACAUGGAAUAGCCUCUCCUCCUUUGCAAGUAAUUUUGGUUUAAACAAGUAUCCCUGGCUGCUAACCAAUCAAAGCAGGCAUAUGAUAAUUUCCCUUUCUGGGAGUGGAAAUUGACGAAAGAAAACUUUUUGAGCUGCUUAUUUCCAUACUUACCAUUAAAAUAUAAAUGGUAGUUUCUAAUGCUACAGUUUAAGUAUACCAGAUUUUAGAAUUUAUAGGCAUUUGUAGUAACAGGGAAUAUCAUCAGUAAUAGAAACUAGUUACACUCAGAUGAACCAAAAUUAUCUUGGUCUGAUAGAUGAACUUUAAGGACACAUUAUUAAAACUGAAUAACAGUUUUAACACAUUAUUUUUUUUUAUGACAAGGGAAACCUGCAGCCGCUACCCCUUGGGUGCACACAGGGUAAAAUCCCCCGCUCCUAUGCAAUAGCUCGCAAACCACAUAGGAGAGGUAACCCCCACUAGGCAAGCCCGGUGCGACGAGCUUGACCCAGAAGGCAAACCCCUUACUUUUCGCUGGCAAGGGGUUUCGAACUUGAGACCUCCAACAUGGAAGUCCCAAGCCCAAACCACUGGGCCACCCCGAAGGAUCAGUUUUAACACAUUAUUUUUUUUAUGACAGGGGAAACCUGCAGCCGCUACCCCUUUGGGUGCACACGGGGUAAAAUCCCCGCUCCUAUGCAAUAGCUCGCAAACCACAUAGGAGAGGUAACCCCCACUAGGCAAGCCCGGUGCGACGAGCUUGACCCAGAAGGCAAACCCCUUACUUUCGCUGGCAAGGGGUUUCGAACUUGAGACCUCCAACAUGGAAGUCCCAAGCCCAAACCACUGGGCCACCCCGAAGGAUCAGUUUUAACACAUUAUAGCCAAAACAGUUAACAAAGUCAUACAUAAACUUUCAUAGCCCAACAGUUUACUUGGAUUAGCAAAAUCUCUAAAACACCACAAACAUUUCACAUCAUCCUAUUCUGGCAAGUGGAUUAUUGCAUCCCCUUCUAUCCACAUUCAAAAACUUAGAAACCAUUGUAUCCUCGUAUUUGUUGUUCUAUAUUCAAUGUAAUCCCAUAUGUGGGGUUUGGUGAGGGUCAUGUGUACACAAACCUUACCCCUACCUUGGUAAACCAGUCAAGUGAUAUAUAAAUGAGCCAUAGUCGACAUUACCUUGUAAUGACUAAAAUUAGAAAUUUCACUCCAAAUGACCUAAUAUCAAGCAACCAUCUCUUCCACCAAAAUCCUAGCACUCAAUGAAAGAUUGUCACAAGAAAACAAAAGAGAGAGCCUUGUGUGCACGAAAGAAAAAGGCUAAAUUUUUCUAAAUUCAACACUUUCACAAUCACACCUUCAACUGACAUUGACUCAUCCCAAUCGUUGAAAUACAACAGGCAGUCAUGUAUUAAUGUGGGGAAACAAAAAAUUUCUUCUACUUCAAUUUGCCAGCUUUCCCAUUUGAAGAGAACAAACAGAAGCACUUCCUUCACAUUCUACCUACAUAGCCCAUUAAGAAUUCAACAGGUAGUCUCACUAUACUUGAUCUUACUUUGCAAAACAGUCAAGAUAUUUAGCUAAUCAUCAAGCCAGCCAAAGAGAAAAAGAAGCAAAAGUUCGCCAAAAUCCUAGAAAGGACAUACCUUUUGAUCCUCUUCAACGUCUCAGGACUGACCUCAGUCUUCGAACCUGUCUUAAAUCUAUUCUUCAGAACCUCAUUCCCCCACUUCAAUCUAUCUGUAGUAACAUCUCCACACCACAAAAUCCCCUUUAUCAAGUGUCCUGAGCCUGAAGCAACUAACUUUGCCGCGGUCGCAUUGUACUCCUCCACAUUGGGCGCCAAUGUGGUCCAAUACGCCGCACAUCUCUCUUCCAACACCUCCUUCUUCUCCGACUUUAAAUCCGCCGGUGACAACUCCUUCGCCACCGGUCCACCUAAUGCUGCCGCGGCCUUCUCCUCCACUUUCUGCACUGCAAAGUUGCUGUAAUUUUCCAAAAUGCCAUCCAACUCCUUCAAUAACUUCUCCUGUCCUUUGGAAGCAAUCGUCAAACCAUAAUUCAACGAGUCAUUGGCCGAGUCACUGACUGAUGAUUCUUUAUCCAAUUCAUCGUCUUUGGGAGCUUGAAAUGAGAAAAAGUAAUGCGAAUCAUCGAGUUUUACAGCGGCGAGGUCCUUAGUCAACGGCCACUGGAUUUCAUUUCCAACACGAACUAGUACUGCGACGAUAUUGUUCCCUUGUCGGAGACGAUGUAGGAAUAAAUCGCCGGUGGCGAGUUCAACGGAAUAGUGCUUGUCAAUCAAGUGAAGAAUGGAACCGGGGAUAACGAGAAGGGUUUCUUCAAGGAUUUCAGGAGGAGCAGAUGGUGAAUAAUGCUGUUCUUCAGGGGCAGUUUGGUCAUUUUGAGGGAAGAGAUUUUCUACAAUGUCGUUCAUGUCAAUGGUUGGGUAAAGAUUUUGGCGAGAGGUAGAGGAUGGGAAAGGGGCAUUUUGGUCAACUACUACUUCUGGAUACAUUGAAGAGGAAUUAGGGUUUUUGGAAGCCAUUGAGGUAGGAAGAGUGAUCAAAGUGAAGUUGAAGAUGAAAUUUUUGGAGAAAAAAUAAAUAAAGAGAAAAGGUACUUAAUGGCCAAACGCGUAAAAGUACGCGUCAUUGGUAGUUGGCCAAAUUAACUGUCUUGGGAAUUUCCCGCUAUAUGUUUUCGAGAGAAUAUAAUAAUAAUUUUGGAAUAAAAUUUGCGAGGGCUGGCCCAACUAGGGCUUAUAAGUCUCAUUCAUAUAAGCCUUUAACCCUUGAGGUUUGAUCGGGACUGUGUCGAGGUCAAAACUAUUUAUUUAAGAGUAACUUACAACAAUCUCACUAGUAUAUGAGUUAAUUACUUAAAUGCACACUACGUUGUGAUAUUAUGAAUCUUACUAGAUUUUGAUACGCUCGAAUACAUGUAUCUAGGGAUACAUGAACUCAAAAUUAGGUUAAGUUGUUCUAAUUACACUCUAUCCAAGUGGAUUCACUUGUAUCUAGGAUAUAUAGACAAAUCAUGCACCCUCGCCUCCCUCCAAUCUCGCUUGUCACUCUCUUAUUCGGCUUGCGUAUCUGGGAUCUAGAUACAUGUAUCUCGUGUAUCUAGUAUCAUAGAUAUAUGCUAAUCACACUAGAUUUUUUGCUAGUGUUAUUGAAACAACACUAUUAUUUGUCAUAUUUGAUUUGAAAUUUUUUUCAUUUUUUUGAUGUUAUAGAAUUUUAAAUUUGAAAAGAAAAAAAAAAUUAAAAAAAGGGCUAGCCCGCCCCAGCCCUCAACCCAUCUAGGGUUGGGUAGGGUUGAGCAUUUUCAGGCCCUUUUAAAUGAAGAAUCGGCCUGCCCUAGUCCUUCAAAAUUCUUAACCCGCGAGGCUUGGGUCAGGUGGGGCUGAGUCAACCCUUUUGACAACUCUAUUAACUUUGUACCAUAUUUAGUUUGAAAUAUUAGUUAAUUUUGAAAUAACAUUGAUAAAAUAAGUUGUGCAUACUUUCAUUUUCAUUUGUAAAAAAAAAAAAAGUUGAGUUGUAGUUACUCUACUUAUAUUCAUUUAGAAAUUGUUUUAUACAAUCUUAUGAUAUUUUAUAGGGUGGAUAUCCUAGGGGACUUUUUGAGAUUAUACCAAAUGACCCCUAUUAAUAUUCAAAUUGCAAAUUUAAAUUAUGUGUGAUAUUUUUUCUUUUUCAAAAUAUUCUUCAGUUACUAAAAAUGGGACAAUGACAUCCUUUUAUCUAAGUUAGGUUUUAAAAUAUUUCUCAUGGUUAGCCAACUGGCUUUGUUAUGCCCUUAAAUUAUGAUUUAGGUUCGAUUUUAUUUUUUCAAUAAAGGACCAAAAGUAUUUGUCAAUUAUUAAAAUAUGAUAAUUGUAACUUGUUUAUUUGAUUUUAGUACUAUAAACAUCUUCAUUAUUAGCCAAUUUGCAAAGUACUUGCAAAAUCACAUAAUUACUAGAAAUUCUUAGUGUGUGAUUUUAACAAUGUGUAUGUAUCAUGAAAAAAAGAAAAGAUCUCAGGAAAGAAUUUAGUGAAGCAACCCAAAAGAAAAAAGAAAAAUAGCAAGUUUUAAUUAAAUUGCAAUCAACGAAAAAAAUCUGUAUCUCAUCAACCAAGGAAGGUGUCAAAGAUAAUUGAUACCAUCAUAAAUCAAAAUUCUUAAGGAACCUAUCAAGAAGCCACCAUCAAGAAAAAAAAUCAUGACGCAAAUCUUAUUUGGAGUCCCUAAAUCUUGCCUAGAGAGAAUUUUUUUCUUAAAACUGAUCAACGGACUAAUUGAUUGAAAGUCGAUCAAGAUCUUUUUUUCCUUUUUCUAAGUUUUGGAUCGUGGAUCGCCCAUGUGGACCGAUCCGACCCGAUCCAACUCAAGAUUGUUUUUUCUGAAUAAUAAUAAAAAAGAUAUAUACUAAUUUAAAAAGGGGGUGGGAAUAGUUACAUUUCUAACGUUAAUAUGCUCUCCUUUUUAAAUUAAGUUUUUCUUUCUUUUACGCUUGAUAUGAGAAAAAACAAGAAGAAGAACAAAAAACUCAAAAGAGAAUAAGAAAAUCUUCUUAUAUUAAAGACACACAACAAAAAGAACAUUUAGUUUGUGAAACACUAUCUUUGUUUCCUAGUGAUUCAAAGAAGGAUUUAGAGCAAAUCAUUUAGUUCGUGAAUUUCAUUCCGCUGCAACAAUCAAAGGUACACAAAUCUUGUACCAAACGUUGUUUAAAUUCUUUCAUUGAUAUCAGAGUCAUCGUUAAUUGCUCAAUGAUAAUGUAGUAUUCGUUGAAUAUAUAUAUAUAUAUAUCUUGUGUCAAGAAUAUUUAUAUGAAGAUCAAUAUAUUUUUUUAAAACUAUGAUUAAGUCGGAUUCAUAUGUUAGAAUUUUUUUUUUGAAUUUGAUUGUAAAUCUAAGAACAUGCCUUCAAUUCUUCAACUUAUUAUUCUGACGAUGUAGUGUUUUUUAUUCUUUGUUGGGGAAACAAUCAAAGAUGGUUUAUUUUUUGUUUUGGGUAGAGAAUAAAAAAAAAAUUCUUUGUCGUGGAUGAAGCGUUUUUCCUUCUGUUUGUUCUUUUGAAGUUUUUUUAAAUCUAAAUAUAAGAUGAAAAGUUGAAUAAGAUUAGAGUUGUAAAGGUAAAGGAGUGUUAUGGAUUUUAAAUGACCUUGUACUAUUUUUUUUUAUUUUAUACUUUCUUUGUUGGAAGAGGUCAAAUAAAUAGUAAAAAGGAAUAACAUUAAAUUCAAUGUCCUUUUAGAAUAAGGAGACUAGUACACAUGUAUUUAUAAUAGUACUAUGAAAGGCUUAAUUUUUUUUUUAAGAAAAACGUAAAUUGCCUUUUUUUUUUGCUAGAUAUUUAUAGUCAAUUAAAAAUACUCUUUUGUCAUCUGAUGUGACAUUCAUUCCAAUUUACUUAAGGUAGUAAAUAUUGGACUUGUACAAUGGAAAGGAUUUUUUUUAAAGAAGGAUUUCUUAUUCAAGAGAUGUGAAAUUUAUGUAAUAAUUUAUUUUUUUUUGGAUCUAGUCAAAACCUUUUGGGACAUAGACUUUGUAUUAUCUUCUUUAUUUAAUAAAGAAUAAUGACCAAUUAUUUUGACUAAAUUGAGAUUUUAAUUAUGAGUAUUAAAAUUGGUCUUGAUAAAUUCGUUAGGUCCUUAAGUUCCUUAAACAGUUCCUUGUCUUAUACGAGAAAUUUAUGACAUAUGUUGUCGCAUUAAAUCGUAUUAACCAUAUUUUCGUUUUGUUCCCAUUUCCGAUAUGGCUGAACAGGAACAUGCUCAAAUUACUCCAAAAGAAGAAGCCAAAUUCCAAGAAAGGAAAAUGUUUUUUUAAGAAGAGAGACGAGCAAAAUGAAGUGCUACAAUUGCCAAAUGUUGGGGCAUUUCGCUCGUGAAUGCACUAAGCCGAAAAAGGUAGCAUUUCUAAACGCAUCUCAAAGUGCAACAUAUGUUUCUAGCACUUCUCUACUAACUAAAUCUUAUCCUAUGUGGAUUGUAGACUCAGUAUCCACCGACCACGUGAGUCGAGAUCGAGAAGCGUUUGUGGAGUUUCGUCGAGUUUCAUGUAAAUUAAGGUGGAUCUACGUGGGAAAUUGAUGCUUAUUGUGACCAACGACACUAACCUACGGUAUGAGUGUUUGCGAUCAUCGAUAGUAUAGUAACCCAACUAAAGGUUGGGGUCGUGUCCCAAGGGAGUGGUUUUCAGAAUUGAUAGAAAAAUAAAAUUUAGCUCUAACUAGUUGUAGCUAAAGAUAUUAACGAGUAAAAACAUGGUAAAUAAAAGGGGUGACACGAAAGUGUCAAAUAUCGAUUUUGGGGUUUUGUUACAAGUAGUAAAAGUAGCAAAAAUUAACAAGAAAAUCAAGUAUGGGGGAAAUAUUCUUGGGGUGUGACCGCAAUACAAGUUGAGAUAAAUAGUUGGGUACAUGCCUUUGACAAGAAAUUUGUAAGAUAAUAGUGACUAGGCUAAGCUUUAAAUGGAAAUAAGUUCCCUCUCGGGUAACUUACCCUGUUUCAAAUGCGUUCCUCUCGGACACUCAUUUGCCGCAUGAAGUCCAGCCUACGCCUUACCCACUCACUCUCUCGAGCGGAGUGUUAGGAUAUGGGACUAGGGCUCACCCUCUCGGGUUGAACCUCAUGUCGACCCACUCUUUAGGCCAUCAGUCUAGUGGUCUUGGUUUUGCGACCUCUCUCUCGGGCAAGCCGAAAACACAUGGGUGGCUUUGUACUUGCAACUACAAACCCUUUAGAUUAAACCAGAACCACUUAGAUGAAAUCACCAUUAAACUACAUCUAACCUAUCAGCAAGCAAGACCCAACAAUAAUAUCAACACAAAUUUGCUAAAUCACACCUCAAGAAUGGGAGGUUUUUUGCCACAUAUCAAGAAAUAACAAAAUACACCAAAAAUGAUAGUAAAAUCAAAUGGGUAUAAAAAGUUAAACCUUAAUUUAAGCAAAGGAAGAAGAAUAGAGAAGACUCACUUCCAACUCGGGGAAGGUGAACUUCUUUCUACAAGUUCCUAAAAACCCUUUCCAAACUUGAGAGAAAAUAUCUAAAAAGUACUAUUCUAUUCUGGAAAUUAAAAUAAAAGUUUGACUCCUAAAAAUAAUAAUAAGUUCAGUAUUUAUAGAUUUCAGAAAAUAGCGUUGGCGGAUCUUUCGGCGAAGUUAGUCGAUGUCGCCGAAUGACUUCGGCGACUCGCCCUUUGUCUAUAUCAUCACCGUUUCGUGCUUGCCUUCAGCACCUUCACGUUCUGGACCAUUGGGCGGUAUAGUACUGCUUCGCGGAACUAUUCGGCGAAGCGUUGACUGUUCCUUUCAUCGCCUUUUUUAUCCUUCUCCUUCAGGGCUUCGCGUAUUGGAAGAAAGGGCGGAGUAAAUCCCUUCGACGAAUCGCCAAGUGUGCUUGGCGAUGCUCGGGUUUCAGCUUCAUCGUUCUUUUCAGCUCUUUUGUUCCUUUUUGUGCCUAAGUGUCCAUGUUUUCACUAAAACUUCAAAUACCUGAAACUUAAGAAUUUUCAUCAGAUAUUUAGACAAAAUAAGCAUUCGAGGACACUAUUCUUAUCAAAAUAAAGCCCUAAAUGAGUUCAAAUUUUGGACUCAUCAACACCCCCAACUUAAACUUUUGCUUAUCCUCAAGCAAGCUCAAGUUCAGCCGUUCAAAAAGGAUGUCUCAAACAGUGAUACACAAGACUCAAACAUACAUACACAACAAGAUUCAAAUUACUUAUGCAUAGAUCAACUGUGUACUCAAAGAUUCAAGUUGUGACACACUAUUACCAGAGAUUCUCGUGCUCACAAUACUUGCUACUUGUGCAACUUCAAGCUCGACAAAAAGUAUCUAAAUGCCUCAUAUGAAGAAUGAUUCCAUAUUCACACACAGAGGUUAAUCAAUUCAAGAUCAGGAAUCAGAUGCAACGCUCACACUACAAAAAAAAGGACACAAUGCAUGUUUUCACCCAUAGGUUUGCCCUUAUUUUCCAAUCGACUUUCGAUUCGGUUACUCAAGAUCAGAAAGGUCUUUCUGAGGCUUAUAAUGGGGCUGAGUGCAAAGGUAUGGUCAUUUAGUGUCACGACCCAAUUUCGCGAGUCAUGAUGGCACCUAUUAUACCCUACUAGUAGAUAAGCCAACCCAUAACCCAGAACAUCAAGCAAUGAAGCGAAAGAGCAGAAACUAGCGAAAACAACAAUCUAAACAAGAAUAACAAGGCGGAAGCAACCCAAAAUAAAUAUAUACAGAAAUCCCUCCCAGAACCUAGAAGUCAUUAGUACAGAGCUAUCUAAUAAAGAGUACAAGUCCCAAAAGUGGACCACAACAGAGCGUGUCUCAAAGGCAACAAGACUAGCUAAAAACAAAAGAAGGAGAUAGAACAAACCCAAAACGUCAAGUGCUCGCCCUUGUCUCCGAAUCAUAGCUGCAAAAGAAGGCUGGAACUAAUCACCGCUGGUAACUGGUACUGGAACCUGCAUCACGAAAUAGAUGCAGAGCGUAGUAUGAGUACCAACACAACAGGUACUCAGUAGGCAUCAUAGGCCGACUAAGCAAAAAGGGGUAAAAACAAUAAGAAACGAUAGAAUAUAGACACAGAGAGGUCAAAGUGGAUAUGAAAAGCACACGAGCAUACCAGAAACAAACUAAGUACACUUAACUAAACCUAACUGGACCCCCAUAUGCCCAGAAGGUAUACUCGUGUGCAAGCUCAAAUAAAAUUUGAAUGGACCCCUAUAAGCCCGACAGGUACACAGAAAAGCUAAGUCUACUGAGAAAGAAGAAAACUGGGCUCCCAGCCCAAAGUAACUAAGAUAAUCCAUCAGACUCCAUCCAUCCAACAGUGCACUCCCAGCCCAUCUAGAAAGAGUGACCCUAGGGGGCACCCAACCAAACAGUCCACUCUCAGCUUAGCUAGAAAGAGGGACCUGUGAGUAAGGUAGAUAUCGCGAGUCGUCAUUCCAUGCAGUCAGCUUUCAGCCCAGCUAAAAAGAGCGACCCAGGUACACCCAGCCACCAACACACUCCUAGCCCAGCUAGAAAUAGAGUCCCGGGGGAGAUCGCCGAUAUCACCGAGUCUACCCAGCCAGCGAUACGUUCCUAGCCCAGCUAGAAAGAACGACCCCGGGGGUGAUGGUAUCUCCAAUAGGAUCCAAUCCAACAACAACCACCGUAGAAUGUCGUCCACUCUAAGAAAUCACAGAAAAGGCUCCAAGCCUAUACUACUCAAUCCCAUGCCCUCUAGUGAUGCACCAAACCUUCGAGAAUACGUCGGAAUCGCAGAAUGAGAGGGAGAAGAUACAGAAGUGCAGCAAGCAGCGAUAACGCCUAAUCUAAGACUCAAACUAUUAGACUCAAGUCUGCUAUUCAAGUCUACAAGGAGCUAAGUCAUCCGAACGACAUCGACAGAAAGUCAAGGCUAUUCAGCCCACAAGGGUCAUAAGUCUAAGGAAAUGCUAGCUUAACCUAGACUAAGGACAUCAUGCUUACGGUUAAGGAUGAACAAGGCAUACAAUACAUAGCAUACAAUAGCAUUUAGCACAUAAGCAUGCAACUCUACUAAACCGGUUAGCAUGAUACUAUACCCGAAAUAUGGCCAAUCGAUCCUAACCUGAGGUAUCUAAUCAAAGUAAGGUAGUAAACUGGUACCUACCCCCAAUUCACUCCAAUCGACAUGUUUUUACACAAUUUAAGCUCAAUCUAAAAGAAAGGAAGUCGUAGCCUACCAUAAGGCCGAUCACGCGCUCUCCAAAUCACUUUACCGGAGCUUUCCCUAUUCGAACGACCUCGAAACGCUGCCCCGCUAUCAAGAAUUGAGUCACAACGUUAUUACGGUCGUUUAGACACCAAAAUCACAACAAACGAAGAUGAAUCAAUUUUGGAGUCAAAACAAGAAUCGUAGGACCCGCACCGAAUUUGACACCGUCAAGAAACCCUAAACGGCACCCCAAACUUGUGUUCCAAAAUGGAACACAAUUCGAGGCUCAAAACAUAGCAAAAACCAACAAGCAAGAAACCACACUUUAAUUAACUAAAAGAAAACCUACAGCAGCAGCCUAAACUCGGAAUAAAUGAAAAUGGAAAGGUUCCUAGCACUCUUUGAACACUCUACGACGAAGUCUCGACAAUUCUCAACACGUGGGACUCGAAUCACCCAAAACCGAGCUAAAAUGAAAGAGAUAUGACCAGAACAAGAAUGUCAAAAACAAAUGCGCGAAAAAGGAACUGCAGUCAGAUUAAUCGCAAAAUUACCUCGAACUACGUGCACCCAACAACUUCCGAGCACUCUACAGCGAAGCCACCGAAAAUACGAAGCUCCCGCACUUCAAAUCGCCUAAUUCGGAUAAAAGAUGAGAAAGUUAUGAGAGUUUGAAGGUUUGGAAAAUGUUGCUGAUUUUCUGCAUUUAUAGUAGAUUUUCUGCAAUAUUUUCAAAACUUAAAAACUCUGCAUUUAUUGCAGAAAAUCUGCAACAAUUUGCAAAACUUAAACUUCGACGGGGUGCUCCGAUCUCAUUCGGUACCCCGUGCACGCAAACGAGAUAUGCAACCAUACCAAAUUUGAUAUUCCAGACUCAACGGCGCAGUCGAAAUUUCCAUCAGAGGUCAUUUCGAUAAAAAGUGGGUCCCACUUCCAAAAGCCAUUUUAAGUCAAAAUCCACAAAAGGGCUCGGAUAGAUAUCGAAAACCUCCAGACACAAAAGAAGGGUCAAUCUAGACCAAACUCGACAUUUCAGAGUUAACCGAACUGACGGAAUUCUCAUCCGAGCGCGUUUACUCAGAAUGUUGACCAAAGUCAAACUUAGGCUUAAACUUAAAGUUAAAACGUCUAAUCGCACCCACUCACAGUGAAAACCUCGUGAGUCAUGUCGACCUUGCUACCAGCCUAAAAUGACCCUUCCGGAGCUGAUGGAAUCGUCAGAAUUGGAUUCCGAUGUCAUCUUCUUGAACUUUUGAUCGAAAAUGAUCGUUCAAGGUUCAUAAGCUCCAAAACACAAAAACUCGCACCAAGACCAAACGAACGACCAGGUGACCGAACUGUCAGUCCCAGCAAGUCAUAAAUGACUUGGGGUCGCUACAGGAACACUCUAAACGACACACAGAAGGCAAAACACAGAAAUGACCAAGAGGGUCAUUACAUUUAGGCUCAGUGAUUUUGUUCUCGUGAGAUGUGGUAUUCUCAAGGCAUUCCUUUUUUUUUAUAUCAAUUCUUUCUCUAGUACUUCUAAGUCACCUUUUUAUUCACCUUCAUGGAUUGCUUGGAACCCGAUCUCCUUCGUAAGAUUUUUUUUUCUUUUUGUUGAAUUGAAUUGAAGGGGUUCCAUUUUCAUGCAAUAACAUGGGUUAGGGGGGGGGGGGGACUUUUCUUGCACUUCUUGACUUCUCCUUUUCCUUUUCACCACUUGGCCUAAGUUGGCUAUUCACUAUACCACAAAUCAAGAGGAUUAUAGGUAGUGUGUCAAGUAAGGUCUAGGGUUAACCAAGGUUCUUCCAAAGAAAGGUAAGGCUCAAAGGGUGUUCAAAAGGGUUUCACAUGCUCACGGGUAGGCCACAAAAGAGGUCUAUGUCAAAUUUGGCUCACACUCUUUAAAGUUGCCUAAGAUCAUUUCAAAAGGACACCUUUCAAAAUCAAUCAGACUAACAGGGCAAAUUCUAGGUUUAUUCAUGCAUGGUUCAAAGCAAGCUAAUCACACAAGGCAUUGACACUUAAAGCAAACAAGACUACACACUUUCGCUAGUGUGCAAUGAUCAUUACAAGAGAAUCAAUUCGAUAAAUGGCUAAUCACAACGAGAUGCAAAGAGUUCACAUGAAUGUCAACACAAAAGGUGUGGGCCUCACCCCACCACAAAUAAAAAAACGUUUGUCCUUAAAUGCAGGUAUUACAAAAUCCAAACUGGAAUAUAAUAAGACAGAGAGGGAGGUAAAGAGAUGAUCCUGGCUAAUAGGUUACUUCAUCUAUCAUGGUAUCAAUAUCCGGAGUGACCGACAGAAAGACCAGCUCCACUGGAUCCCGCAGCAGGAGACUUUGCUAAAAAAGCUUGUACAAUAACAUUUAUCAUGAUUUCUUCAGUCUCGGCUCUGUCGUCCGCUGUAGCUUUCUCAAAUAUCUCUUCGUCAGUUUCUGCUUUCGAUUCAGGAUCAACUAUAUGCUUCAUUCCAUUUUCAUGUCCUGCCGCAGUCUGAGGCAUCUCGGGCGCAUCUGGAAUUUUCACUGUUCCAAAGAUCAUGGAUAUAUCAAUAGACUUUAGGUAGUCCACAUCUUUCUUCAGCUCUGCAAUGGUGGCCUUUACGGCUGUUACUUCCUCUGUAGCUCCUUGAUCGUGCUCACACACUAACAUCCUGACCUCUAGAGCAUCAAUAGUAGUGCUCAGUGGUCUCACGGCAAUGUCGAGGGCGGCCUGAAUCAUGCCUGGGAUAGAGCUUUCCAUGUUGACCGUCCGACAAUUAGCAGUUUGGGAAAGCUGUCUCAUUCGUAUCAAGGAUGCUUGAGUGAUUGGUUCACAAGGGGUAACAACAGCUGAAGGUCCAUGGGCAAGAGGAGGCAAAGAUGCAUGUUGACACCCAAUUUUGACCGACAUCUAACCCUUUUUGGAAAUGCUAUUCGAUUAAAUACGUAUUUUUAAAACACACUUCAAGUUUAAAAUUUUAAUCAAUUUUGGCUAAAUAUCUUAUAUUUAGUAUGCAUGAUUUUUAAAAUUAUUGUAUUUAUUAUCAAAUUAUUUUAUUAAAUUAUAUUUAUCGAUAGUUAAAAUCGAAAUAAUUAUUUUACUUCAAUAUUUUAAAAUAUUAAAUGUGUGAAAAUUUUAAUAUGUAGUAUUUUAUUAAUCGGAUAGCAUUUCCCUAUUCUUCCCUUAAAUCAUUUAAAUUUUAGCCUAUUCUAUUCUAAUUUAUUUCAAUUCUAGCCAAUCCAAUUCAAAUUGUAUUUCAAUUAUAGCCAUCCUUUCAUUGCAAUUCUAGCCCAAUUUUACUGUAAUUUCAAGACCCCAUCCUUUAAUCUCAGCCUUCCGUGCCCUAAAUCUAAUCCCAACCAUCUAUCUGAAUUAAUCCAAAGGUUCAGAUUCGAUCAAACACCACCUUCCUAUUUUAUAUCAAAAGAACCAAAACCCUAAAAAAAGUUUUCAUUAUCUUCCUCCCAUCUCUCUCUAGCGCCACUUUUUCUCCCUUCUUCUCUCCAGAUCGCCGCCUCCAGCGAGACAAGCAGCAACCGGUGAGAACUGAGCAAUGUUGGCGCCGCCUCCUCCAUCUCUCUCUCUCAUUUCCCUCUUUUCUCUGAUCUUCUCUUGCAGCAGCAGCGAUCGGAGGCUGCUCCAAUCGGCAACUCUCUCUCUCCCCUCGUCUCUUCUCUUUCUCCCCUUCUUUUUCUCUGUCUCCUUUUUCUCCUCAUUUGACCAGCAGCUAGCGAGAACCACCAGCGACCAAUAGCGAGUAGCUCCAACAAACUACAGCUCCAGCCAGCAACCGCGAGGGAGAACAACGAGCCACCAACAGACAACAACAGCCAGCGAAAGCCAGCUCCAACUCCGGCAAAUGCUGCUCCGGCCAAUGAACUAGCGAUCUCCGGCGAAGUUUUGAAAGUUUCAAGCGGGUCAAAAGACGGAUCUGUUACAGAUCCAUCCGGGUACAUUUCUUUUUAAAUUAUUACCUCAUCUUUUGGCAACUUUGUUCUUAUUUUCAGUUACAAGUUGGCUAUUCAUGCUCUGUAUAUGUGAAAACCAUUUCAAUCUCAAAUUUAAUUACUAUCUGCUAUUUUAUGAUCUUAUUCAUGUUUUGCAAAUUUUCUGAUUUUGUGUGUUGCUAAAAUAUUAUUCAUGUUGACUUAGAAUGUCAAUAUACCUCUAUGUUACCUACUUCUCUAUAGUUAUUAGUACAUUAUGGAUUUUAAAUAUUGUUGGAACUGUUGGUUCUUGAUUUUUAGUUGAUAAGUUGGAGUGAUAAUUGAUGCCCUUAAUUGGUUGUUUCUUUAGCUAAAAUUUGGUUCAGCUUCAAAAUGUUAAAAUAGGGAUUGCAUGAUUUGUGACUUGUGUAUUUAGAAUCUGUUUAAAUUGUUAUUUGUUUGUAUACGGUAAAAAAAUAUAUGAGAAAAUGUAUAUUUGGAACUUGAUUUGAGUUGUGAUAUUGUCCUUCCUAAAAUAAUACUAUUCCUUUUGGUGGAUUAUGUGCAAUAUUGAUUGGCGGUGUUAAUUGAUAUUAUGUACCUUAUUUAUGUGUAAGCAGAUUUCUUACUUGUUUAUAUUUAGUAAAAAUAAAUUAAAAAUUGAUUUGGCUCUCCUUUAAAAUAAGGAAAAUGUGUUAAUUGAUUCCUUUCUAUUUUCAUUUCCCUUAAUUACUGGCCCUUCCCUCAUUAUAAAUAAUCCCCUUUCAGUCUUUGGAAUCACUGACCUACACAUCCUGACUUUGAUCAUACUCGAAUAAAAAAAAUUAUUGCUCUCUAUUCUUAAAAGAAUUAAGAUUUUGGUAAACAUUCUAAAGUGCUGCUUUACUCGAUUUUUGCUGUGUUCGGAUCUAGUAUCGAAUCAAAUUGGGUCUUCAUUGCUGAUAAAUUUUCUGCAUAAUUGGUUAGCCUUUCUUCAUUAGUUUAAAUUUCGUUUUGCAUUAUUUCAUUAUGAAUGUUGUGUUGUGUUUGAAUAAAACAAAGGAAGCACUCAGGUUUGUUUCCUAUCCCUCAUUCCUUAAUGUGCUUUGAUAUGACUAUGUGUUUUCUUUGAAUAACUUUAUGAUUCUACCCAUAUAAUUGACCUUCUUAUAUAAUAUUUGCUUUUGUUAUAUUUAUAUGUAUUUGUAGUAUUCCUUUCUUGUGGUUUAGCAGGGUUGAACUAGAAGUUCAAGGUAUGAAGAGUCGUCAUGGAAGGGAAAAUAAUAGACGAUGAAUUUAUUUAAUUCGUGUUUUGUAUAUUAUCUAAUUUCUGUUAUUCGGUUUGUAAUAUUUGUAUAACUCUAACUCUAGUAUAUAUGUGAAAUAUUUGGGGAUCGUCUAAAGGGGAGGGGAUUUAUGUGCUACUUGUUUAUUUUAUCAUAACUUAUUUGUGUUAGAAAGCAUGCCUAUAGUUUCGUGAUUUGUUCGGUAGUUCAUAUUUAGAAACUUCACUUUAGAUCUAAUUAAAAAAUAAAAUUGAAUUGUUAUUGCCAUUAAUCACCUAUUAAAUCUUGUUUAACUAUAUUUUAAAGUUGAUCAUGUGCUUAGAUAUUUUAAUUGUUCAUCAUAGUACACCUAUUUGAUUUGCACGACUAUUUCUUAAUUUGGUCAUUAAAAUAACUUUGGUUGUUCCUUGUUUUAUUAAUUAAAUCAAUUUCUUUUUAUAGUAAUUUAAGAGUAAAAUAUUAAUUGAUAUUCAACAAUCUUGUAUUAGUCAAUCUGUUAGAUAUUAGGCUCAUAUAAGAUUUAGUCAAAAUUGAUUAGACUUGAUCAAUCAGUCUUUAAUAGCUUGGUGUAUUAAUUAAUUAAUUGGUUUUAAUAACCUCGGCAUGUUAAUCAAUUAACUUAAAUAAUCCUUUUGUAAUUGUAAAUUUAUAAUCAACUAAUUUUUUAUCUGAUAAGGGCUGUUGUAUUAAUGGCAAUUCAGUAUAUGAUUAAUUUGCAGAAUGAUUAAUUGAUUAGAUUCUAAUAAACUCGAGUAAAUCAAUAAUCAGGCUAGUUUAUAGGAGCUUAUUCACUUUAAUGUGUUAAACAGUAUGGAGAUUUUAAAACUGGAAAUCUAAACUGCAUUUACUACUGCCCGUUUGACCAGCAUGUUUAAUAAUUAAUCUCUUCUACUACUUAAAAAUCAGUUAAUGAUAUUCCUUUGCUGCGUGCCUCUUCUUAAAAUCUGCUACCCUAGAUAUCUGUUGCCCCGAGUAAUUCUUGUCUAAUAAUAAUUAACUUCUGCAUUAAUAAACCGCUUUGCCACUUAAAAUAAUUUUUGUAUUAAUAAUAAAAUCUGUUAAUGCUAUGAAACUUGUUUUCAUUCUGUGAUGACCUUUCUACUAUAUUUUAAAACCAAGUAAUAAAAUCUACAUUUUUGUAAUAACUUUCUACCACCCUUAAUAUUGUAAUCGUGCUGUUGUAUUGCCUGCUACAAUACUGUUAUUCUUGUAUGGACACACUGAGCAUGAAAUCCUUUCACAUUACUUGUGUUUGCUAGUAUGUUAAUAACCUAAUCUAGAGGCCAACAUGAGAUUUACGUGAUAAGUGUUGCCCUAUUUGUUUUGCUUGGUGUCUAGGUGGGCCUACUAGGAACUUUUAUUGUAUUUUUAGUCUAAAACCCCCUAAUAGUAGUCCAAUUCCUCUUGGACCUUAAGCAGGGACGCUAGGCACCUUUUAGAGACGAAAAACAUGCAGAAGGUGGGGUAGGGGUAGUUUAGGCCCUACGGAGAUGAUGACAUCGACUCAGGCUUAAAGCGACAAACCUUGGUUUUGUCUGUCCCUACACAGAAGCCUUUCGAAAAAAUAAAGAAAAGUCGAGUGUUGAUCUGUAAAGUCCUACCGAGUCUCCCUCUCCUUUUGUCCCUUUAUUUAUUUAUAACUAUAAUUGUUUGGGGUAGCUUAAAUAAAAUAUAAAAAUUGUCUGUCUAUCUGUUUGUGUAAUUUCUGUCUCAUCGCUUAUCUCUUUAUUAAUUGUUUAAUAUUUAUUUGUUACUAUGUUAUCACUUAGUCUUGCAUUCUUAACUAAUUAAUUAAAAUAACUAAAGUGCCCUUAAUUGUUAAAUAUUAUGUUAUCACUUAGUCUUGCAUGCUUAACUAAUUAAUUAAAAUAACUAAAGUGCCCUCAAUUGUUAAAUAUUAUGUUAUCACUUAGUUUUGCAUGUUCAAUUAAUUAAAUGAAUUAAUCUUAAUUGUUAAAUAUUAUGUUAUCACUUAGUAAGCAUGUUUAAGUUAAAUAACUUAAAUAAAUGACGUGACCAUACUUGCUACUUGUAACCCUACAUAAAUUGCACGAGAUACGGUCGGGACCCACAUUUGUGGACCUCGAAGGAUGUCUAACACCUUCCCCUCGAGGUAAUUUAAACCCUUACCCGAUCUCUGGUUCAUUGACCUUUAGUUAGAUUUAGCUAGGUUAGAUAGGUGCCCUAACGCUCCUUAAUUCGUUAAGUGGCGACUCUCCAAUCACCCAAAGCCCAAAAGAGUUGUUAGGUCGUGCACCCAAAACUCGUUUUGCGAAAAACGGGGUGCGACAAUGCCUCUGCAGGUAUAGAUCUAGUGGCCACAACUUCCUUCUGUUUCUUUUCUGCCUGGUCUUUAAGAUAUUCAGCUUCGAUCUUUCGGAUACUGGUGGAAAUAGUGGCAGCCAAUUCCACAUCUUUCGUUGCAUCUCCAGGCACCUAAGCCCUUUUGCAUAAUUCAUUGAUUAAUACCGGGAAAGUAAGAGAUGUCUGGCCCUGCUUUGCACGCGUAUGGAUUUCAGAGGAAAUGAUCUUCCCAAGAUUUAUCCUGGUUUUCUCCAUGAUGCAUUCAAGACAAGCUGCCUUAGCAUGACGAAGGAUUGAUUUAUUCUGUGAUGGCAUAACUGUGUUGCUGAUGAAUCUGAACUAGUAUCGUGCAACUAUGUUCAGAUUUUUCUUCUCAAUUGGAACUCCUUCUGCUAACCAUGUUGGAGCAUUAUCAUCUGAGACUAGUGGAGCUAACCACUUUUUCAUUGCAUCCAGCUUUUGUGUCCUGAUCAAGUGCUGGCAGUGGUCAUUAGUCUUAUCUGUCAUUCCCAAAGCUCUGUUGAUAGUCUUACUGUCACAGGAUACCUUCUUUCCUCGGACAACCACGUAGUCAACUGCUUUAAAAUAUGAGACUAGCCUUUUUCGUUGAGGUACUAAUGCACUGUAUGCGUCGUAGAACUCUCUAACCCAGCUUGGUAUGUAAGAGCCGCGAUGUCUUGUGAAGAUUUGGAAUUUGUGGUAUUUUAAGCACUCCAUCACUUCUGGAUACCUAUCAAUAACCUCAUCUAUGGAAAGUCGUUUCUCCCCAAUGAUCGUUCUCAGAUCAUCAGCCUUUGAUUUAUUCAUUGAUCCAUGUUUGGGGCUUUGUACUGGAUGUGCCAUCACUAAUGCUUGCCCUGAAGUUGAAGGAGUUAGAGUGGUGGGUUGGUUAUCUCUGAUCCGAUAUGGAUCAGAGAUCAUUUUGGAUCGUAACUUAGCCCUCCUUGCCUCUAUUUGGUAAUCCUCGUCAGACUCUACACUCUCACUGUUAUAUGUGGGUGGCUCGAUGGCGUAGAAGCAUGUGCUGUCAGAGCUUGCGUCGGAUAAUUCGAGGGCUUUACCCUUCCCCUUGCUUUUUGAAAUUAUGGUAGCCUUGCCCUUGGGUGGAGGUGUAUUUUCUCUAAUCACGAUUCCUUUCUCUCUUUCUCUAGUCGGUUGUUUGGCCAUAUUUGCAAAACGUUAGAGAGAAUAGUGAGUGAUUACACUGUAACACAUAAUUUCAGACAGACUCACUGAUCUAAUCAGCGAAUCGCCAAACCUCUUUGGCGAUCAUAAAUAUGUCCGCCAAAAGUUAUAGAACCCACAACACUUAAGAUAAGAAUUUAAAGGCGCUUUAGGUGUAGGGGGUGAACCGCUGAGUGAUUCGGCGAGCUCAACUCAGCUCGCCGACUGACUUAACGUGCCUGAGAUUUAACUUACUUUUUCAAAAUCGAUCGUACAAACCUCAAAAGCAAAAUUAAACCAACAUUGAUAAAAUUUAGCCCAGAAUCAUAGCACCCAAUCAUGGUCAACACCCGUUAUGCACAGUUUUCCACAUUAAAAUUCAAGGUGAGCAAAGCGAAAAAAGAAGUCGAAAAGUAAAAGCAAAUAGGCCCCAACUUACAAAACAGAAGCAGGUACUCGAAAAUAUCUACUCAUAUCAAAGAGAUUUAACACGCAUUAGUGGACUCCUAGGUUACAGAUGAGGUUUAUCUUUUCAAGAGUUGAUGAAGAGUUUUAGAAACUAACCUUUUCGCUGAGUAAACAAAGUUGUAAUGCUAGGCGACAAUGAAAAUCUGAGGUCCAAGCACUAAUUCGCUACUAAAAUACUAAUUUAAAGUGAGAAAAUAUAAAUUGCUACCUGGGUGUGAAGUUAUGAAGUUUGAAAGUAAGAAAGAAUGAAGAAAUGUGACUAUUGGCCAUAUAUGUUGUUCAAUCUGUGUCCAUUCGGCGACGUUAGUCGCACUCGCCAACCUACUCAGUGAAUCGCUGAGUGGGCAUUUAUUCAGCCCUUUCUUCAGAAAUCUUCAAUUUUCAGUGGGUGACUUCGACGGUCUAUAUCGAGAUCGCUAAACUUAUUAGCGAUGUGCCGAGUUGCUUUUCGAGUCCACCGAGUUUUACAGGCUCUGUACAAUUUUUGUGUUGAGCCAAACGACAGAUCCAGUCUGGCUCGCUGACCUGUUUGGCGACUCGCCGAAUGGACUUUCUGCUCGCCAACCUAAAAUUUUGCACACUUCCCUGUUUCAACCUGCAACACAACACACCAUUAUUUCUAAAAGUAAAAUCCUAAUCGUUUAAGGCCUUGGGUUGCCUCCGAAGAAGCGCUUUAUUUAUCGUCGUGGCACGACACAAAUCGUUGCUCAAGUUUCGUUGUUGGGAUUGGCCAGGUCCUCAUUAGGCCACCCCUUAUUUUCCUGCUGAUGGAGUUGAGACAUCGCAUUACUCAUCGGGUCCUCUAGCAGUUGGACACCUUUUGAAUGAGACCAAAUCAUCCACUUCAUUCCUUCAAUGUCUUCCUUCAUUCUUUUCAGCUCUCUAUCUUGCUCAAUCACCUUAUGGAGAAUGAUUGAGAGCAUUUCCCCAAGGCGUUUAACCUCAUUGUCCUUGAGACUUUUUCGUUCAUGAGGAGGGAUGUAUUUAUCCUUUCUCUUACACUGGAUUUCGAUCUUCACCAUCUUUUUAGCCAACUCAUCCAUCUGAGUCAUCAGGGCGGCCAACAUGAAGUCUUUUUCUACUUUUAGGUUCGUUUCAGCCAUUUGAUUAAACAGUUGGGUUGCUAUCCCAUAUGGUUGUUUUGCAAUGCCUCCCGGAAUGAGUUGGUCGACCAACCUCUUGUUUCCAGGAUCAAGACUUCUAUAGAAACCGUCAAGGAGAGCUAUGUCGGGAAUGUCAUGAUUUGGGCUUUGAUUGAUCAGUUCCUUAAACCUUGCCCAUGACUUGUGGAUCCGUUCACCCUCCAAUUGCUUGAAGGUGAGGAUACGCUUCCGGAAUAUCAUUACCUCUACUGAAAGAAACUCCAUUAGUUCCCGAGUGCUGCCAUACUCAUUUAAAUGGACAAUUUAACGAAAAACAAAACUAAAAGUAAAGUUAGUGAACUACAACUAAGAAGAAUAAAAAUUCUAUUAAUCUAAAAAUUCUCAAAUAACACCACUCCCCGGCAGCGGCACCAUUUUGAUGCUUAUCGUGACCAACGACACUAACCUACGGUAUGAGUGUUUACGAUCGUCGAUAGUAUAGUAACCCAACUAAAGGUGGGGUUGUGUCCCAAGGGAGUGGUUUUUGAGAAUUGAUAGAAAAAUAAAAUUUAGCUCUAACUAGUCAUAGCUAAAGAUAUUAACGAAUAAAAACAUGGUAAAUAAAAGGGGUGAAACGAAAGUGUCAAAUAUCAAUUUUGGGGUUUUGUUACAAGUAGUAAAAGCAGCAAAAAUUAACAAGAAAAUCAAGUAUGGGGGAAAUAUUCUUGGGGUGUGAUCACAAUACAAGUUGAGAUAAAUAGUUGGGUACAUGCUUUUGACAAGAAAUUUGUAAGAUAAUAGUGACUAGGCUAAGCUUUAAAUGGAAAUAAGUUCCCUCUUGGGCAACGUACCCCGUUUCAAAUGCGUUUUUCUCGGACACCCAUUUGUAGCAUGAAGUCCAGCCUAUGCCUUACCCCACUCACUUUCUCGAACUGAGUGUUAGGAUAUGGGACUAGGGCUCACCAUAUCGAGCUAAACCUCAUGUCGACCUACUUUAUAGGCAAUCAGUCUAGUGGUCUUGGUUUCGCGACCUCUCUCUCGGGCAAGCCAAAAACACUUGGGUGACUUUGUAUUUGCAACUACAAACCAUUUAGAUUAAACCACAACUACUAGGUGAAAUCACGAUUAAACUACAUCUAACCUAUUAGCAAGCAAGACCCAACAAUAAUAUCAACACAUAUUUGCUAAAUCACACCCUAAGAAUGGGGGGUUUUAGCCACACAUCAAGAAAUAACAAAAUACACCUAAAAUGAUAGUAAAAUCAAAUGGGUAUAAGAAAUUAAACCUUAAUUUAAGCAAAGGAAGAAGAAUAGAGAAGACUCACUUCCAACUUGGGAAAGGUGAACGCCUUUCUUUAAGUUCCCAAAAACCCUCUCUAAACUUGAGAGAAAAUGUCUAAAAAGUACUAUUCUAUUCUGGAAAUUAAAAUAAAAGUUUGACUCCUAAAAAUAAUAAUAAGUUCAGUAUUUAUAGACUUCAGAAAAUAGCGUUGGCGGAUCUUUCGGCGAAGUUAGUCAAUGUCGCCGAAUAACUUCAACAACUCGCCCUUUGUCUAUCUCAUCGCUGUUUCGUGCUUACCUUCAGCACCUUCACGUUCUGGACCAUUGGGAGGUAUAGUACUGCUUCACGGAACUAUUCGGCGAAGCGCCGACUGCUCCUUUCAUCACUUUUUUUAUCCUUCUCCUUCAGGGCUUCGCGUUGGAACAAAGGGCAGAGUCAAUCCCUUCGACGAAUCGCCAAGUGUGCUUGGCGAUGCUCGGGUUUCAGCUUCGUCGUUCUUUUCAGCUCUUUUGUUCCUUUUUGCGCCUAAGUGUCCAUGCUUUCACUAAAACUUCAAAUACUUAAAACUUAAGAAUUUUCAUCAGAUAUUUAGACAAAAUAAGCAUUCAAGGACACUAUUCUUAUCAAAAUAAAGCCCUAAAUGAGUCCAAUUUGUGGACUCAUCAGAAAUAAUGUGAAGCUAGAAGUCAAAGGGAUAGGCACUUGCAAAGUAGACUUGUGUGGUGUCCAUUCUUUGAUGUUGCAUGACGUCCUAUAUGCCCCAGAGAUUCGACGAAACUUAGUAUCUAAGUUUGUUCUUUUAGACGUUGGUUUGAUUUGUUUUUUAGUCGUAAUGGUGUUAGAAUAACUCUAGCUAAUGUUUUAUAUGGUUUUGAACUUCGUUAUGACCGUUUUUCAUAUUAGAUUGUAAUCCUUCAACUUAUGACUAUUAUGUUGACCGUUGUGUUAUGACAUGUUAUUCAAGUAACAAUGAUAGUGAUGUUAUUACAUGGCAUGCAAGAUUAGGUCACAUAGGGCAAGAUCAAAUGAAUAGGUUGGCAAAAGAAUGUCAUUUAGGUUCUUUCACCAAGAUUGAUAUGCCAACUUGUGAAAACUGUCUUGCUGGUAAGAUUACGCAUAAACCAUUUGGAAAGGCUAAAAGAGCUGAGUUCCCGCUUCAAUUAAUUCACUCUGAUAUUUUUGGUCCAAUGAAUGUGAAGGAAAGGUCUGGUGCUACAUACUUCAUUAUAUUUAUUGAUGAUUUCACGCGCUUUGGCUAUGUCUAUUUGAUUUCUCAUAAAUCUGAAGCACUUGAGUGCUUUAAAAGAUAUAUGAAUGAAGUUGAAAAUCAAUUAGAUAAAAGCAUAAAGGUUUUAAUAACUGACCGAGGACGUGAAUAUUUGUCAAAAAAAUUGAAGAAUUAUGUACUGAAAAGGGUAUUAUCAUACAGUUAACUACUCCUUAUACACCUCAACAAAAUGGUGUAGCUGAAAGAAGGAAUAGAACAUUGUUGGACAUGACGAAGAUUAAUGAUGGCGCAUGCAAAUUUGUCUAUCUCUUUCUGGGGAGAUCCAUUAUUGAUUGCAGUUUACAUAUUGAACAAAGUGCCUUCUAAAUCAGUGUCUUCCACUUCUUAUGAACUUUGGACUGGUCAUAAAACAAACUUAAAUGAUCUUCGACCGCGGGGGUGUGCAACAUACAUUAAAGAUCAUUUUGGUGAGUUUGAUAAACUAAAUCCAAAAGGAAAAAAAUGUAUCUUUAUAAGGUACUCUGAACGCUCCAAAGGGUAUGUGUUCAUCGAUGAACUGGAGAAUGGAAGUAUUAUUGAAAUUGUAUCACGAGAUGCCAGAUUUUUGGAAAAUGAUUUUCCUAAAAAGGGUGAAAUAGAUGAAGUUGAGCCUCUGUACGAAAUGUUGAAUUCAAAAGAUCAGGUAAUGUUGUCAAACAUACUUGAUAAUUCAAUGGAUCAAGAAAUGAUUCUUGGUCCAAGUGGGAGUUAUGCAUCUCAAAGUCUUAUAAAUGAAUUUGAACUUCAAAUACGUAAAAGUACAAGAAAAGGUGUACCUAAACAAUCUUAUGAGAUUAAGGAUCAUGUUUUCUUGGUAUCUCCUAUAGAAUUGGAUAAACCUAAUUUUGUAACUGAGGCAUUAUCGAGCCCUGAAAGUGAUGAAUGGUUAAAAGUGAUGAAAGAAGAAUUAGAGUCCAUGAAAAUCAACAAAGUCUGGGAUCUAGUUGACAUUCCCAAGGAACGUAAAGCUAUUGGGAAUAAAUGGAUUCUCAAAGUUAAACGCAAAUCGGAUGGGCCAAUAAAAAGACACAAAGAAUGAUUGGUGGCAAAAGGUUUUACUCAAGAAAUUGGAAUAGACAAUGAGGAAACUUUUUCACCAGUUGUGAAGUUUACCUCUAUACGAUUACUUUUAGCUAUUGUUGCACGUUUAGAUCUAGAUUUACACCAAAUGGAUGUGAAGAUCGCUUUUCUCAAUGGAGAAUUGAACGAUACAAUCUACAUGGAACAACUAGUAGGUUUCGUUGUUAAAGGUCAAGAAAAGAAAGUUUGUAAAUUGAAAAGAUCAACUUAUGGCCUAAAGCAAUCUUCAAGGCAGUGGUACCUGAGAUUUCACAAGGAGGUGAUGUCAUUUGAUUUCACCAUGAUCGAUGAAGAUCAUUGCAUCUAUGUGAAAAAGUCCAAUGAAAAUUUUGUAAUUCUUUCUCUUUACGUAGAUGAUAUUUUAUUAAUAAUUUAGAGUAUGUGAAAAUUGUCAAGUCAUGGCUUUCAAAAUCAUUUGAUAUGAAAUAUAUGGGUGAAACGGACUAUAUAUUGGGUGUUAAGAUCUAAGGAGAUAGUUCUAAGAAAUUUUUGAGUUUAUCUCAAGAAACUUAUAUAAAGAAAACAUUGAAACGUUUUCGAAUGAAUAGGUGCAAAUACAUGGAUACUCUUGUAGCAAAAGGUGAAACUUUAAGCCUUGAAAUGUGUCCAAAGAGUGAAAAAAAAGGAAGACAUGUCUCAAGUUCCUUAUUCUAGUGUUGUCGGGAGUUUGAUGUAUGCUAUGAUGUGUACUCGCCUAAACAUUUGUUAUGUUGUGAGUCUAGUUAGCAGGUAUCAAUCCAAUCCUGGAAGAGAUCAUUGGAAAGUUGUAAAGAGAAUAUUCUGAUACUUGAAGGGAACUGCAGAUCAUGCACUUUGUUAUAGUGGAUCUGAUUUAGUCAUAAGAGGUUAUAUAAAUGUUGAUUGGGCUGGUGACCGAAAUGAUAGAAAAUAAACAUCUUGUUAUGCUUUCUUACUAAAUGGUGGUGCUAUUUCAUGGAAAAGUAAGAAGCAAACUUGCACAACUCUUUCAACCAUGGAAUCUGAAUUCGUGGCUUGUGCGUCUGCAGUACAAGAAGUUGUUUGGUUAAAGAGAUUCUUUGAGCAUUUCAAUAUCGCAAAGAAUUCUAAGGGUCCCAUGAUUCUAUAUUGUGAUAGUCAAGCGGCUUUCGCAUAUACGAAGGUACCUAAAUAUCACAGUAAGAUCAAACACAUUGACAUCAAGUAUAACUUUUUGAGAGAUGUAGUGGCAAGUGGAAAAAUAACUUUGCAAUACAUUCUGACACGUGAAAUGAUAGUUAAUCCUUUUACGAAGGCCAUUUCUAGAGACAUGUUUGAAAAACAUGUUAAGGCUCUAGGUUUGCGUAGAAUAUGAUGAUAUUUCUGUAUUGUAAAAUAACUUGAUUGUUAUAAUAUUCUCUUCUAUAUAAUACUAUUGGAUUUAUAUUCAAAUAUGAUAUGCAUGUGAUAAUUUGUAAGAUAUAAAGUGUGUCGAACAAGUCCCGAGAUUGGCUCUCUCACAUGAGCAAUCGCCUCUUACGUUGGGGAGCGUGAAGAGAUGCGUUUCACCACCAUAUUAUGACUUGUUUUAUGAUCCAGAUAAAAGUUUCUUUAAGAAAAUGAGUUUAAGCAUCACUGAAGAGAGAAACUAGGGUUAAACAUCUGGAGGUGUUAAGACCAAGGUCUGUACGAUGUUGAAUAAUCGAAAGAAUGGACACAUACACCAAUCUAAGGUGUAAACAUUGUACCACGUGUUUCAUACCACGUGUGUCAGGAGAUCAAUGGGUCAAUGAAAACAUGGGUCCCUGCUUCUUCAUUGUGUGAGACCCCGAAAAGUUAAAAUGACUUUUCAAUGAAAUAUCCUUUGACCUUUUACUGUUUCUUGAAGUUUCGAUCGGUGUUGCUACUUUAGCAUGUUACUAAUAGUCAUGAGCGAUUCAGCAAUGCAGUACAUGUCUUGGAAAGCAGUGGAUAUGGAACAGAUAAAUUCGAGUAGAAAGGGAAGAUAAUUAAAUGAACAAUUCAACUUGUAUACAUAAGCCGGCUAUUACACUCGAUUGUAAUUGUGUGUAUAAAGUUAAACAUGAACUCGAAUUCACCUCUUUAAGAGGUUGAGGGAUCGAAUAAGUAACUACUGAAGUAGUGAAUGACGUCUAGGGUAUUGUGAGUAAUAGUGUCCUUAAAAUAGUAGUGAAUUCUUUCCACAUGUGAUUGGAUUCCUAUGUAGGGCUUGUAAAACCUUAAAGGUAAGCUCUUCAUGCUCACAAGUCGCACGAACUAUUUGUCGUAUGAAUUGUGUGUCAAUUGAUAUUGUGUUGACUUGGGUCUUGUCCACUAUGUGCGAAGUGGGAGAUGUAAGUUUUGGGUCGUGGGUCACCCAUGUGGACCGACCCGACGCGAUCCAACCCAAGAUUUUUUUUUUUGAAUAAUAAUAAUAAUAAUAAUAUAUAUAUAUAUAUAUAUAUAUAUUAAUUUAAAAAGGGGUGGACUGUUCUAACGUUAAUAUGCUCUCCUUUUUAAAUCAAGUUUUUCUUUCUUUUACGCUUGUUAUGAGAAAAAACAAGAACAACAAAAAACACAAAAGAGAAUAAGAAAAUCUUCUUAGAUUAACGACACACAACAAAAAGAACAUUUAGUUUGUGAAACACUAUCUUUGUUUCCUAGUGAUUCAAAGAAGGAUUUGGAGCAAAUCAUUCAGUUCGUGAAUUUCAUUCUGCUGCAUACAACAAUCAAAGGUACAUGCACAAAUCUUGUACCAAACGUUGUUUAAAUUCUUUCACUUUUCAAGGAUCAAAUCUCUUGAUUACCAUCUUUUCUCAAAAGACCUUCAAGCUAACCAUAUAUUUUUAUAAGAAGUCUUUAAUGAAAAAAGAAGAUAUCAACACUUCUGACCCAACUUACAAGCUUUGUCAUACUUUUAGCAAAUAUUUUUUUUUCCCAGUGAAUUACUGUGUAUUUAACAAAGUGAAGAAAGAAAAAUAUUAGUAUUAGUAAGGCAUUGUAUCAAAAGACUGAAAAAAGAAAAAAAACGAGUGUAGACGUAGAAAUUAUACUCGACACGCACUGUACAAGUUAUACUCAAAAGCUAUAUAUUGGACUAAUUAGAGUCAUUUUGGAUCCCAAUCAUUAUAAAAAUAUUUGUUGCUAAAUUUUCUUUCAACACUUUACUGUUUUCAAUAACUGUUUAAUGUUUUUCUGUUAAAUAGUUGACUACUAGAAAUAGAAAAUUGAUUGAAAAAUUAUUUUUUUCUUAAAAAAAAAAAGAUGAUGAAUGCAUCCCUCCUUUACACUUUCAAUUGCUAUCAUAGCAAGUUUCAUAUCUAUUUGUUUUAUUAUAGCAAGUGAGAAAAGAUUAUGUCUUAACAAAUCACCAAUGCAAUACUAUUCCAAGAAGAAACUUCAUAACUUAGCCCCUCUUUACUUUAGUGAAAAAUAUUUCUCGCACUGAAAAGUAAGAAUGAAGACAUUCAUCAAGUCAUAUGAUGUUUACAUAUAAAGAGUCAUUAAGCUUUAAGUUAUUACUAUUCUCCUUACUAAGAAAGAUGACAAAAGAGUAAUGAAAGACAAGCAUUAACAGUAGCACAAGUUUGGAGAACUUAUCAUUCAAACAAUAUUAAUAAUGAAAUUCUUCAGGAGAUCUAGAAAUCACAAAAGAGGUAGUAAAAUUUUUCAAAGAAAACAAAAGUGAUGAUCAAAAUAAAAAUGAGGAAAAAUGCUAUAACUAUGAAAAAUAUGAACACAUUGAUAAUGAUUACACUGAAGCAAAGAAAAUAUACUCUUAAGAAAUAUCAAAGAAAUAAAAUAUUCAGCAAUUGAGUGAUAAAGAUGACUCAAAAGAUUAAAAUGAUGAAACUGAAAAAUGUCUGUGUCAUGGCAGCUGAAAAAUCAAGUGAGGUAAGAUCUUGAAAAGAAUAAAUUAAAGAAAGGCAAAAAAAAAAACUUGAAGAAAAUGAGCAUAAAGAAGGAAGUUGCAACGUUGGAGCCUUGGAGGAUAACAUCUCAAGGGAAUGUCAAUUCCUAAUAACUGAACAACAAUAACAACAUACUCGAUGAAAUUCCACAUGUGAGGUCUCAAGAGGGUGGAGUGUACACAACAGAUCAUAACCCUACCUCGUGGAGGUAAAGAGAGUGUUUCCGGAGGACCCUCGGUUCAAUUAUAACAUAUCAAAAUCAGACCAAUCGGCUCUAGCAGACAACUCACAUUCUUUUAUUCUCUUCUUUUUCUUCACGUUUCUCUGAUUUCCAGAAAACGGCGAAGAUUCGACUGGGUGCAAAUUGAUACUUCAAAUUACAGGGCGAAAAAAUGCAUCAUUAUACAAGUGAAGUUUAUUUACUUACAAAACAGUACACACAUUUGGACUAACAACAAAAUGAUAGCUAUAGCUUUCUGUCUCUCGGCAAAAUAAAAAAUUGGCUUCCCAGUUCUAUUACAAAGAAAAAACGCCACUGCAAUACCUGUGCAAAUUAAGAAAGUUAACAUGAGAACAACAAUAUUCAAAAGAUAGGGAUAAACCCUUUUCACUGCAAUAGGUUUACUGGGAAGUGUAACUUCUAUACACAGUGCGCGAAAGAAAUUUCAAUGAAAUUCGUAACCUGAAAAACAAGGUGGAUUGUACUUGCUACAAUAGGUUAAAAUAUAUAUAUAUUUAGGGCCAGAUAUAUGCAAGUUAAAUCCUAUUGGAAACAUAAGAAAACAGGGAGCUCAUAGAGAACUUAUUGAUGCACAUGUAGGUUCAAAAUAUCCUUGUGAUUUCGAAAGUACUUCGUUAGAACUUAGAAGUGAAAAUUUUCAGUAAAUAUGAUUUUGGCUUGGAAACUUGGCUGGUGGAGAUUUUACCUGUCACUGAACUUUUCAACAGCCUCAGAAGCGUAAAGAAGGGUUUCAUUGGCUUUCUCAAGUACCAUAUAAAGCUCCUUUCCUCGUGUCAACCGAGAAAUCACCCAAGCACCAUUUUUUGCUCUAAUGCAUAUUUCUUGGUCUUUCUCGCAGUCAGAGCCAUCACAUUUAACUCUGCUCUUUUCUAAGUCAACCUCUUCUCGAAGCUUACUCAUUGCAACUAAAGAAUCCUGCACACGUAAUCAAACUUUUUAGAGUAACAGUUAAAAUCUAAUAUUACAGUACACAAACCUGAUCACCAUGGCUAAAUCAUCCCAUGAGAAAAGAACAUUACCAAUUCAUGAUUAACUCUCAUUAAGCAAAUGUUUUGUGAACUUAACAAGAAACUGGUCACCUGGUAAAUGUUCAGUAACACAGGCACUCAUGCAACAAGGAAAACGUCAGGAAGUUAUAUUCAACAUGUACAGAGAGUGUGUAUCAUCACUUUGACAAAAAUAUUGAUUGAAAGGUAAUUGGGGCUUAAUAGGUCACCUAAUACAAGAACUCUAGGAGCAGAUUUUGGUUCUAUACAUCUUUAAAACAAGCUACCAAAUAGAUGUUUGUCAAUAAGUGGAUGAGAGUCUUCAAAAUAACAAGCAACCAAGCACCGAAAUAUGCGGACUGUGUGGUAGCCUAUCUUUUCUUUUCUAAUUUUCAGUUUUACUCGCUUGUGGUAGAUAGCUCAUACUAAGAGUGCAAGGUAGCCAAAAAACUCAUUAUGAGCCACACGCAAAAACCUAAGCAUCAUGGAAGCAACAACAAACAGCUCACUUCCAAAGGAAGCUAACAAGAAGUCUCCAACAUAUCAAAUUAUAUGGGCCCCGAAAUGCAACUUAUCCAAAAAUACAAAACCCCAAAAUCAAUGUAAAUUCACUUUACCAAUACUUAAUUUUGUACAAGCUUUCCAACAGCAAGCACAAAAAGAUGCAAUUUAGUUCAGCUAUACCCAUACAAUUAUAACUCCAAUAAAUGUCUUGUCUUCAAAAUUUCAAUAGUACUGAGAUUCUAAAAGCUUUGACAACCAAAAUAAGGAAAAAGGAACUGAUCUAACCUUUGUAAGCGUUGUUACUUUUCCAGGUGGGGAUGCCCGAGAAAUGUAUUUAUCACCAUCCACAAGUAAGUAGCGGUAACCACUCACAUGAUAUGCAUUCUCGCCACCCCAUCCUCGGGAUAGUUUCUCUUCAACUUUGAAUAUCUUGGGUGAGGCCUAAAAUUACAAGAUAUGUCAUUAACUAACCAAUAUAAUAAUUCCAUCUAUCACAAUUAUGCUCGCCAAAGGACUAUUAAUCUCAAAAGCAGAGAAUAUUUUCAGCAAACGAAAAUGGGAAGGGAAAACCCACGGAGAACACAAAGAAACAUAAUGUUGAUAAAAGCACUAUGAUUGAUAUUUAUUUCAGUUAUUUUCACUUGAGCUAGUAUCUUUGUUUUCUGUUUUUCUUCUCAGGGAACUUAGCAGAAACUUCUUGCAUCAAGUGGUUAUCACUUCUACCUGUGCCCACUCGACUUAUGAGGAGUCAAACCAAGACUAGCUUGGUUAGUAACCACUACGAGCCACUAUUUAAAGUCUUCUAAGAAGGCCUGUAAAACCUAGAGCAACAAUAUACAGAUCGGAUAUGUAUUUGUCAACUAAAUAAGGCACGAAAACAACCAAGGAAAGAAACCCAGUACAGUGAGCUUCUUAAUAAGGAAAUGUCGAGUUUAGAAUACAAUUAAGUUGAUGCUAUUUUUAAGUUUGUCAACUAAAUAAAAUAUAGACGAGGCUUAAGCAGUUAUCUCCUUUCCUAGACAAAAGAAUUCACAAGAGAAAAAACAUGGGAUACAAAAUGUCUAGGACUGACCCUACUUUAGUACACCAAGGAAUUGAGUUAAUAACCAAACUUAAUUACGUCAGAAUGAUUAAGUAGUUUGUAAAUUCUAAUUUUGACAAGGGUAUAUUAUAUAUUUCCUUCCGUUCUAUAUUUGCAGUCAGAUUGACCUAAUGUGUGAGUUUGAACCCAUAAUAAAAUGCCAGAUUGCACAUACUGAAACAAAAAUGAAGAAUUGGUGGGACGAUUUACAAUCCAUGACAGUUCAAACUUCCAUGAGAUACACAGGCCUGGGAGUUGCUGUAGAUCGCCAUGAAGGAAAACUUUUAAUCUAUUGCCAAUAUAAACUGAAAAGAGUUCCAACUUUCCUGCUCAUAAGAGAUUGGCAUUUCCCAUUUCUUCGUUCAUCCCAGCUGCAACAGUACAAUAAACUUUUAUUUCCUUGAUUGUCCAUUCUGUCGCCAGAUAAAUUAGGUUUUGCCAGCAACUACUCCAACAUCCUGCCACCUCCACCCUUGCUAACCAUCUAUCAUUGUAUAUAUAAUAUAUCCCCGACAAAAGAAGAGGAAAUAGACACCUUCCUCCUUAUAUAGAAGGUGUGAGGUAUAAAAAGGUCCAAGCUCCGUAGCGACUUUAUGCAAUUACUUUCUUUUCUGCGAACUGGUAAGUUCUUUAUGCAAUUACUUUCUUCUCACAUUCACCAUUGUUAACGUUAACCAAAUGCAGAAAAUCAACAAGAACCAGGCAGAUAUUACUAGGCUAACCCUUAUCCAUAGCAACACAACAACAACAACAUACCUAGUGAAAUUCCACUAAGUGGGCUUUGGGGAGAGUAGAGUGUACGCUGACGUUACCACUACCUGGUGGAGGUAGAGAGGCUUUUUCUGAAACCCUUAUCCAUAGCCAAUGUAAAAUUAAGACUGAAUAUUAUAAUUAACCCACUAAGUUUUAUCUUUCAAUGUUUCAAAAGAGGUCAUAGAAAAGUUUUUAAGAUAUAAAGAUAAAUUUAAACCCUUUUCAAACACUGCUGCUAUAAAUUCCAAUUUACAGAAUGAUGUCCUAAACACAGGGUUCCUAAUUUGGAAGUCAGUGAAGGUCAAAAUAAACAGCCUACAACAAGAAGUGAGUUAAACAAGGACCAAUUUAUUUUCAAGAAAAUAAGACCAUUUGUUGCAUUGACUUACAUUCUCCAGGAUUUGCUGCUUCACCACUGACAACCCUUGCUCCCCAUUGUGUACAGAUGUGACAGGAAUGAGAAGUAUUAUGGUGAGGCUCUUAUACUGAAAAGCACAAAGAUACAUCCUCUCCUCUGUUUGCUUGAGCCAAAUUGUUGGACUGCUAGGACACAAGCUGCCAACUUCUGUGCCCCAAAUAUCAGUAACAAGGAAACCAUCCUUCCCUUUGGACCAUUUCUCAUGCUGUAAGGGCCUAACAACCUGAUAGCUACGAACUCCAACUGGAGAAGUAUCCCGUGAGUUGUAGUACCGGUCCAGAACAGAGUUAGAGCUUGUUGAUAAAGACACAGAAGCAUUAGAAGUAGUACUUCCUUUGCGUAAAUAGGACCAGGAGCUAGCUCCAGCAGACAGAGCAUUUGGGGUCAACCUCAUGACUGUGUACGUGAAUAGGUUAAUCAGGUCAUCCUGAAAAGAUGAAUAGUGACCAUUCAUGAUUAGAGCAAAACGUGCAUUUAAAGGAUCCUCCAUAUAUAGUUGGUCAUUGCAGACAUUAUUGGUUUUGAAUUGCAACUGCUUCUAAAACAAAGUUACUAAAGAUAAAUCUGGGAACUGGCAUAACCUGACCAGGAUGAUCGCCUAGUUAAGUUGGGAUCAGUCCGGGUUGAAACAGCCCAAGUUGGUUUCAACUUAGCGCUGGGCUGGCAAAAAUUCUUAUGGUUUGGGUCCGGCCUCGGACCAGGACCACUAACCAAUUGUACCGGUUCUUUGGUGGGCAGGGCUGGGAUUUAUUUAAACUUUUAUCAUUGUACCUAUUUAAAUAGAUUUUGGCAAUAAUUAUUUUGAAAAAUGUAAACUGUAACUUUUAAAAUUAAUCUAUUUUUUAAAAAAAUAUUAUUGAAAAACGUAAAUGUGACAUUGUAUUUGUUUAAUAGUUUGCAAGUUAAAACACGGAAUACUUGAGGAAAAAUAAGUAAAAUAAACAGUAGCUAUUAGACUAUGAGAUUUAACAAAAGUACAAAUUAAAAAAAAAAUCAUUUCAUAAAACAAAAAAUUAACAAAAGAAAUCUCAAUCUAAUAUAGUGACAUAGCAUAUUCAUAUUCGAAUAUAUUUCGUUCUUUAGUGUUUGAAUCAUUUUUGACCACUUAAUUUAACCCAACCUUUUAAGUGAACAAGAACUUCUGGUGUAUUCCCCGAGAGUAAGCUCACUUGUCCCUGUACAGAUGCAACCGCACAAACUGGAAUCACCAGUUUUAGUUUUUAUUUUUUGAUUUGUACUUUGUAGUCUUCUUUUCCCUGCCGAUCACAGACUGUCCAAUUUGGAAGUAGUUUCACCUUUGACCCAAUUUAUGGGCUAGAGCCUAGAAGUCCUGAAACUGGCCCAAACGUAAACCUGGAAUAGCCAGGCCAGUUAACCUUCCUGGGUCUAUUUUCUGGGCCAGUUUCCUAGGCUAACCCGAUCCAACUGCCAGGUCUAACUAGACCAGAAGUAUAAAGAGGGAGUAAAAGUAAAAAUGAGAGAGAGAGAAGCCUACAGGAGAAAGAGUUGUGGACACCAGCAAAUCCUGGAACAUGAUCAGUGAGUAGCUCUGUUUGCAGCCAGCACAUGAUUCUAGCACUCUUACAAGUGACUGCGAAUGCCAAAUGCAAGAAACUGUAAUUAGAAUGGCAAUAGAUCACAAGAUUAUGGCAUGUGCACAAUAACGUUAGCCUUACUAGCAAAAAUCUACAUUGAGGCCUUGGAUUUCAUACACACCUCAAUCAAGAGGGGACAUAAAAAAUAGAGUUCAAAUCAUCAGUUAGGCCAUAUAUUAUUUUUGAGAAUUGAUAACAUUGUCUUCUUUAGCAUUAAGGGAAUGCUGGAAACCUUUUAGAAAAAUCAGAAAAGAACAAAAAGUAAUACUUACAACGAUCCUAAGAAUUCUAAAAAUUGAUCUGAAUCCUCCAAUCCUAUCUCUUUACACCAAAAUAUAGAGAUACAAUGCAAUUCUAUUUAACCUUGAGAAUGAAAUUCGAUAUUAUCUUCAAAAUUCCUAUUAUUCAUCUCUUUCCACACUGUCCACCAAAUGCAAUGUGGAAUUAAAUUCCACUAGGUCUUCUGUCUCUUGCUACCUCCUCUCCUAAUCCAGCACCUCACGAAAUCAGUUGUAUGUUCUUGCAUAGUCCAUUUCACAUCUGAAAAGUUGAGAAGCAUGGACCAUAUUUGAGAUGUGAAAGUACAAUAUAAGAAUAGGUGACUAGUAGUUUUCCCUAUCUUCCCACAUAAAGAGCACCACGGAAGUAUGAUCCUUCCUUUCCUCCUCACGACUAUGCACUAAACUUUUGUUGGUGCUGAAUUCCUCCAAAUCUUUUUCCAUAAACUCUGAUGUUUGCUGCUUUGCAGGUUGCACUCCUUCUUGUAUGCCCUGCCAACUAUGAAGAUCCCAUCCUCACUGUGAGACCAUCUAACUGCAUCAUUGGUUGUAUUAGUACCUGCAAAAUCCCCACUUCCUCCAACAAUUUGGCUACUCUCUCUAUUUUCCAAUCAUUUAGUAGCCUUCUGAAAUAAAAGUUCCAACAUUGUUCUAUCCAGCAAUCACUGAUCAUUGCCUCAGAAUUAGUGCACAAAAUAAAAAAAAUCAAGAAACGGGUCCUUCAUGGGCACCUGUUUGAUCCAUACAUCCCACUAGAAUCUAGUUUUCCUACCAUUCUCCACCUUGAUAUGUAAAUUUGGUUCUAGCUUGAGUCAUAAGUUUCUAAUAGCUCUCCUAGCCCCCACUCCAUAAGCAUCAAUGCUUACCUUACUACACCAGAAUCCAUCCUCCCCAUAUUUACAUUUAAUCAAGUCUUUCCACAAAGCUUGCCCCUCCUCAGUAUAUUUCCACAACCAUUUUAUCAAAAGGUAGUUGUAAUGCUUCCUCAAACCUCUGAUGCCCAAACCACUUUUAUCUUUUCUAUGCUUAAACUGUCUUCCAACUUGACCAGAUUGUAUCCUUUGAUCUCUUCACAGCCAUGCCAAAGGAAAUCUCUCCUAAGUUUGUCCAAUUUCUUAGUCAUCUUUGCAGGUAGAGGAAAAAGAAACAUAACAUAUGUUGGGAGAGAAAGAAUCUAGGACAGAGUUGAUAAUGAUGUGUCUACUACCAAUGGAAAUGUAUUGUGCCUUCCAUCUGGCUAGUCUCUUUUCAAUCUUAUCCACUAUGUUGUCCCUCUUCUUCAAAUGUUUGUGUUUAUUGCCUAGAGGCAUACCUAAGUAGGUUGUGGGAAAUUUCUCCACUUUGCAACCCAAAAUGUUAGCUAGCCUCUUAAUGUUUGUCACAGUCUUGAUAGGAUAUAAACUGCUCUUUCCCCAAUUAAUGUUCAAACCUACAGAAGCUUCAAAAAAACAACAAAAUUUGUUUGAUGAAAUCUAAGUUGCUCCUCAUGUGGCUCAUUGAAGAUCAUUGUGUCAUUUGCAUAAAGUAGAUGACAGUUCUUUACUAUCACCAUUGUUACCACUAAUCUGGAAACCUCUGAUCCACCUGUUUUGAGUAGCAAUCCUCAUCAAACUAUCAAACCCCUCCAUUAGCAGGAUAAAUGAAAAAGGUGAUAGAGAUCACCCUUCCUGAUUCCCCUGCCUGAAGAGAAAAAGCCCACGGGUUCGUCAUUUAUAAGAAUUGAGAAUCUCAUCAUGCUUAUGCAGAAUUUUAUCCAUCCCUAAGGCUGGGCACCGGAACGGGUUGUACCAGUACCAUUCUGGUCCGUUCCGGUACCAUUCCGGUUCGUUCCGGUCCGGUAGUAUUCGGGACGGGAUGGGAUACAUUGAACCGGUACACGGAACGGAACGGUACCAUGAUUUGGUACCGGUUCAUUCCGGUUCCGGUCCGGUCCCGGUAAAUCAUUUUUAAUUAAAAUAAAAAAUAAUAUUUUUGUCAUUAUUUACUUUUAUUAGCAUUUCUUUUUUGUUUAUUUAAUUUUUUUAAAAUUACAAACUUAAGUUAUUUAACUUACAAGUUAUAAGUAUAACUUAAUAACUUAUAAACUUCAAAAGAUUCAAAUCUUUAAAACUUAUAACAUAACUACAUAAGCUCAAAAACUAAAAAAAAACUUUAUUAAACUUAACUUACAAACUUAUAUACGUAAAAAUUAAAAAAAUAAUCUUUAAAAUAAACUUAAGUAAAAUUAUUAUAAAUUUUAAAACUUAAAUACUAUAAACUAAUAUAACUUAGAAAAAUAAAAAAACAUUCGUAUUUUCGUAAUUCAAAAUAACUCAAAAAAUAAUUAUUAUUUUUUGAAAUAGCUAUAUGUGCCGUCCCGUUUAUCCCAUCCCGUUCCGUUCUGGUCCAUUCCGGUCCGUCCCGGUUCUAGCCCGGUAUAUAGUGGGACGGGACGGAACCGAGCCUCCAUCCCGGUAGUUCCGGUCCGGUUCAUCCCGGUACCGGUCAACAACCCGGUCAAACCGUCCCGUUCCGGUUCGUUCCGGUCCGGUGGUCCCAUUCCGGUCCGGUGCCCAGCCUUAUCCAUCCCACACAUCUUUCUCCAAAACCCAUUUCUCUCAAGUUGUUCAACAGGAAAAAAAAAAAAACAAUUUACAUAAUCAUAUGCCUUUUCAAUGUCCAACUUGCACAUUUCCUCUAAGGUAUUCCCUUUCCAACUAGACACAACACACUCACUUGAAAUGAAAGCAACAUCCAAUAUCUGUUUUCCUUUAAUAAAGGUCAUUUGGUUUUUGUUGACAAGCUUAUCAAUCACCUUUUUCAACCUUUCUGCCAGUAAUUAUGCUAUCACUUUAUAAACUACAGUAAUCAGACUUAUUGGCGUAAAGUCCUUUAGUUCAGCAACACCUAUUUUUUGGGGAUGAUUGCUACAAAAGUAGCAUUAAAGCUCUUGUCAAUCUUCUGAAUAGCAUAGAAUUCCUGUAUAGCCUUUAUGAUAUCCUCUUUCAAGAUCUCCCAAAAGGACAAGUAAAAGGAUUAUGGGUAGACCAAUAGAUGUUUUCUCCAUAGUACAGAGUUUUAAGCAACCCAAGAUCUCUUCCUCCUCAAAAGCACUCUAAUUUUAUUUGCUCCUCUACACUGAUGUUUGUGAUCCCCUAUAACUGUAGCUCAGGCCUCCACUCCUCUGGUUCUUUGUACAAAUUUUGGUAGAAGCUUUUGAUGGUCUCUUAACUGAUAAAAGGGUCAUUAGUAUUCCAUCCAUCCACCAUGAAAGACUCAAUGGAAUUGUACCUCUUGUGAGAAGUAGCUACUCUAUGAAAAAACUUAGUAACUUUAUCCCCCCUGCUUCAGCGACAAACCCAGUAUAGUCUCUAAUGCGGGAUUUGAGAGGGUAAAGUGUAUAAAGACCUUAUGACUACCUCGAGGAGGUAGAGAGGUUAAUUCCGAAGACUCUCGGCUCGAGUAACGAUUAUCAGAGCAGCUAACAGAACAAUACAAAGGUAAAGAGUACAUAGAAAAUAGUAAGGAAAACAUAACAUACCAAUGAGGGGCAAUAACCAUAACCAACUAAUGUGAUAACUGAAGCACACUAAAUAAUGAGGAAUAACAAAGGUCGUAAGAUAGGCCAACUACGAGACAAAUGCUACUAGUACUAGUAAAAAAUACAAAUCGGGAAACAGAUGCAAUGCACCAAUCAAUCCUACUAGGAAAUAAGACGACUCUCAACUACCUACUAACCUUAUACCCUAAUUCAUGACCUUCAUAACUUCUUGUCUAAGGUCAUGUCCUCGGAGAGUUGGAGCUGCACCACAACGAGGAUUCUUGAUCUAUGCCUCCACCUUAUUUCUUCAUUCUAAGUUACUUACUCAUAGGUGAUAGCCAAAAAAAAAUAAUUGUUGGAUCUCCUCCUCUGUGAGCAUUCUUUUGUUCCUGCACAGCUUCCCAUUUGAUCCAGCUCCUCCAUAAUCUCCUCCUUCUGUGCUUUUCAAUUGUUUCGGUUAUUCUUACUUCAUUCCUUCGUCUUUCCUUUUAAGAAUUUCAGCUUUUCUACUAGAAGAAAAACUGGGGUUCCAUUUAUUGCAAAGACGCUGCCACCACAAUUUCACCUCUUCCUUGAAUCCUUCCACUCUCAUCCACCAAUUUUUGAAUUUGUAAUAGGACUUCUUGAAAUUCAGACCCCCACAAGUCUGUAGAAUUGGGUUGUGGUCAAAUCUCACCAUAGGCAUUGUAGAUUGCCCAAUAAGAGUGAACUGCUCCUCUCAUUGUGAGCAAUAAAGGCAACUAUCAAUUCUGGAAGUUGUAUGUUGUUGUUGUUGUUGGAGAGAUUAUAUCAUUCAGUAUGUUUGAAUUCUAAAACUUCAAUAAAGUUGCGUAGCACAUUACUCUGUUUAAGAGUGUGCUGAAAAGGUGGUAAUGGGUUGCGCCCUCUUAAUACAAAGUGCACUUUGAAGUUGAGACAUUCCAAAAAAGAAACAUAGUUCACAUGAAUUGCCCAAAAGAGAAAAAGAAACAAGAAUCAGGAAGAUUGGAAAGACCACAAAAAAUGUUUAGAUUUACUGUCUAAGAUGUAACCAAAUUACAUAUAUUAUCUAUUUUCCUAUAGUAUAGUAGCUGUAGGCAGAAUCUUUUACGCAACUCAAGAUAAGAGUUUAAAAUUAAAACAUUGUUAUCUUCACAAAAGAGAGAUGGAGAGAACAUUAAACUACAGUUCUUCAUUAUUAAAGCUGUUAUUAGCUUAAGUUUUACCUUUGUCGCUAUAAACAUAUGUUCUAAUAAUGUUAAUGAGGUCAUACUGUACAUGCUAAAGGUGGAAGAUAAAGCAAGUCCACCAGAUGUUUGAUAUGCUGAGAGACUUGGGAGUUUUUGGAACUAUUCCUCCAACUACACGGGGCUAGUCAAUUAGAAGGCCAGCGUAAUAGCUAAAGGAAAAGGCAAUGGUGAUUACCAAUUUUUUCUUUCAUUCCUUGAAUGUGAGUUCCAUUACAUGAAGAUCUCAUGGCAAUCAUGCAGGGAGCUAAAAGUGUAAAAGUAGUGAACAAACAUGUAUGUAAACCUAUAUGCUUGAGCCACCGUGGACUGGAACACUUAAUCUUUAUUAAGGCAUUCAUAAAAUAGAACAGCGCCAAGUGUUUCAGUAAUGACAUCGCCAAUUUCUAAAAAGAUAGUAGCAGGGAUUUUCUUGGACAUCAAGAUGACAUGACCUUUUGGCAGAAGCUAUCAUGUGAAAAGAGUGAAUUAUGGUGGCUUUAGAUUAGACCAGAGAAGCCAGAACUUGCUCCUAACUAGAGCAAAUCGAAGCAACUGUGCAAACCUGAUCAAUUUUGGUCAACAAGACGAGCACAACAGACAAAGAGCUGAGCAAUAUAAUGAAUAAAUCGAGCAAAACAAAUAAAUCCACAGAUUUAUGAUUUAUCUAUUCGUCCCAGUAUGGCCAGGCCUUCAGUGUAAUCAAUAAACUGACAAGACAAACCUGAACUUCAAGUGCUGCCUCCCUCCCAAUAGUCAACAUCUGUACCAUUCCACGCUCCUUCAAAGAGUCACGGAAAUUUGGCAAGUGAAGCUUCUUCCCAGAAAGAAAAUCUGCCACAGAGGAAAAUUAAUAGGCAAAGCAUUCAAGAUGCAGUCUAAUGUUCAAAUUGCACAAACUGAAAUGAACUUAUUAGAUACAGAAGCUACAGUAUUACCCCAGCAGCGAAAUUCCAAUGAAGGCCGCUUUUCAAAUGCUGACAAUCAUGACUUGCAAUGAAAUAAUUUGAACAGGAAUAUUUUCUUAUAAAAGUGAUAAAAUGCAUAUUUUCAAGGUAGCUAAUGAUGCCUCACCACUUAAAUAAUCCAUGAUGAAAUAAUACAAAUGUGUCCGAGUAAGCCCUCCACUUGGUUCUCUAUCAAGUAAUGCUCUGAUGGACCCAUGAAACAUCACAAAGAGAGAGUGAACUUCUUUAAGAACAUUCCGUAAAGCAGCAGUCCGCCAUAUGGCUUCUGACUCACUUUUUUCCACCACCUAAUACCACCAGAAAAGCAAAUACAUAACAGAAGAGUCAUAAAGCAUAAUAAAUUUCUUCUGCAAUGGAAAUAAAACGUGAGGAAAUUUGAGUUAGUCCAAAAGAUGUGUGCAUUAAGCCUUUCUUGUUUUCAUAAGGAAGUCAUACUUAGCUUCCUUGUCAAAAAGAGGUAAGUCAUACUCAUUUUUUCACCAAGAAAUGACAGUCAUGCUUAAUUCAUUCCAUCUUUGUCCAGUCAAAUUUUAUUAAAGAAUUUCUGGGAAAUCUAUUUCACAGCCAACUGCAUAUACAAAUCAUAGUAUUGCAUUAAGAACCUACUGAAUUAGAGAUAUUAUACUCAUCGACAGCAUAGAAAAUAUUGAUAAACUCCACAAAGCACUGGUGUCUGUCAAGGUUGUUAUGUCUAUGUCUAGCAUGAGACCAACCUUACUCCAUUCUUAGACCAUUAAUGACAUGUCUGAGCACGCCAAGAAGUAGGGACCUGCCAUGGUCGGUACGGAAGUUUUGCAACUAUGAUGUUUGGCAGUUUAUUUAGACUUCAACCAGAAGUAUUAUGGAACAAAAUUUCCUUUUGAGUUACCACUUCUCUAGUUCUCUUUUCAUCCUCCCUAAUCUAGUCCUCAAUCUUCUAGAUUUCAGUUCACUGCAUGCGACAGUCCUGGAACUGUUCAUAAGUAAAAUUAUUCAAGUAUAACAAGGACAAUACCAAGAAGCAAGUCAGGAUGUACUGGCAAAUUUUUUUACUUUUUUACGUUGGAUGAUGUAAAUUUUUAUUUAGAAACAGUAACAAGAUGGUACUUCAGAAAAUAUUAAAAACGGGACUUGUUUCCACUAUAUAUUCAGAUUCUAACAAGCCUUUUAAAUUAUUCAAAUUCAAAAGUAAAUUUCGGUUCAUACUCACAGAUGUCAAAUCUGAUGCUAUAUAAAUCUGAUGGUGCAGGAUGUAGCAUUAGAUCUAUGAAAUUUGUGAGUUAUAUAUCCACUUAUAUCCAACAAAGCUUACAUCAUUGAGAUUAUAGCAAGCCUCCACAGUGAUCAUACUUUCAAAUUGUAGCAGGUAGAAGGACAGACCAACAUCAUAUAAUCUCUCAAAACCAGUUCAGAUAAUCAGUGAUCACCACAUGUAAUUAUUUAAUCCGAUAGUUGGUAGAACUUUCCUUCAUCCAUUUCACCAAAGAAUUCUUUACAAUUUAACCAUGACAGGUAACAUGAAAUGCCAGAAAAGUUCACUAAUUGAAUAAAGAAAAAUGAUUAUAUUAGUGCAAGAGGCCAUACCAUCACCAUCCAGAUAUCACGCUCUGCCUCAUAGAAAACAUGGGAGUGCAUCUCUGCUUCUAUAACCUCACAAGGAGCCUCUGGAGAGAAUAUUCUGCACGGAAUGAAAAAAAUAUAAAAAAGAUCAUCAUAUCACAUACAAGAGCCAUCUAGCAUACAACAGCAAGAAGUUGACAACAGCAUCCAGAUGGCUCAGUUCACAUUCAAGGAAUAUCUACCUUACAGAGCAAGAAAAUGAAGAUAAAUAUAAGACGAACUACUCUUGAUCUUAAAAUAACCCAUCCACGUCAGAAUCCCAUUGCUCUUCAUUAAGAAAAUCAAUUCCAAUUUAGGAACAGUCAUCAAGCUCUUUUUUUAAAACAUCUUUAAUGUCUCUAAUAUGAGAAUACAUGAGCACAGCUAACUUUCUACCUAAUGAUAUGGCUGAAGAAUCCUUUGGAUAAGAAUGACUAUUUAUGAAAGGAGAUGAACAAUGAAAACAUAUACCUAAAGCUAAGAACUGAAGCUAUAUCCAGCAAUACAGAUUUAAAAUCACAUUGCAGAUCAGCUAUUGAAACAGCAUUAAAGAAGUAAUGUAAAAAUAUAAAAUCGUAGCAACCAAUCCAGAUAUCCCAUCUUUAAGCAAGAGUUUCUCAAAGAACCACAUGAAUCUUUUAUUUAUUUAUUUUUGAUGGGUAAAGAACCACACAAAUUUUUUUUUAUUUAUUUUUGAUGGGUAAAGAACCACAUGAAUUUCUACUCAUUAAUAGAUACAGGUGUAGAUAUGUGAGUGCCAGUCGCAACAAACCUGGUGAAUGUUAUGAGUCCUUCACUAAGCCCUAUCACAGAGAGUUGGGUGGGGAAAGGCAAAUCAGCAGGAAAGAAAUAUAAAAUCUUGUCCAACUCCUGCCCUUCAUGUUGACCCCUUCUCAAAUCAAAUAUGCACAAUUUCAUAGCUUCACUAACAGAGCUUGCAGCCGAAAUUCCCAUUUAUCUGCUUCCUUCCUAUGACUGAGAUAUCAAGUUUCCAAAUCACAAAUUAGACUAGGUUCACAAACAAAACAGCAAAUAUGAAUUAUCAUACAAGACUUUAUUGAUGUGAUUUUACAACACGCAUGCAUUACGUCUACAUAGUUAACCCCUCAGCUUGUAGCCAAAUCCCUUUUACACAUCCGAGUUCCACAGGAACUUUUACACACCAACCAAACGUGUGUCUAAUAAACACCUCUUUAAUUAUGUAGCAAGUGCAUAUUUCACACAGAAAAAGGGCAAGUGCAUGGACCACUUAUAGUAUCUUAUCUAACAAAAAAAGCAAUCUCCUUCCCCAAGACAAACAAAUCCCACCCUUCUUCUAUGGUGGUUCAGCUCAAAUUUUCAAACCAAGGUAUUGAUCCACUGUUUCAAUCUGGUUUUUAAGCUUCCAAUCAGUAAUAGCAAUCGAACUCAACACAAAAAGUCCCAGUUCCAAAAAAGGAAUCAACCGCAACUUCAAAUGUUAAAGGACCCAACUGCUAUAAUUCUAUAACCAAGAUCUUGAAUCAGUUCCAACUUCAAUUCUUAACCCACAGGAAGAAUUUUCAAAUAAGUUUUGUAGCAAAAAAAGUGUAUCCAAUCAAACUCUUUAAUCAGCAAAUUAUUUACCUCAAACAAUAAGGGGACCGAAAAUGUUGGAACCGAUGAUGGGUGAAAAUGGUGGAAUCAAUGAUGUCUCAGAGAUAUUUGUGAGAAUGUCUAUCUAUGUAAAAAAGAAAAACCAGUAACAUACAACCAGUAAAGUGACAGUAUAUGGUAAAGCACUAAAUCUACAUUCAGUUCUUUUGCUUUAUAAUUAUCUGAAAUUCACAGGAUUUAGUUUUCGUCAACUACUUUAAGUCCAGAACAAUAGUUACCCAGUAUCACAUAUUAGAGUAGAAAUAAAUAAAAUUUAUCAACAAGGCCAAAAUUCGAGAAAGAAAAAAAAAACCCAUACCUAAUUUUUUUAACAAAGCGCAAUUAUAAUUUAAAUUGACCAACUUUCCCCAAAACCAAAAAUAAAUAAAAUAUUUUACUAUAAUAAGCAGGAAAAAAAGAGUUAUGAUUCUGAAAAAGUAAAGAGGACCCAGAUGAGAUAUGGUAAAAAGAAAGAAUCUUGCUAAACCCAUAAGCAGAAGUUGAUAAAUCAAAGAUGAGAAGGAAGCUCACCAACUUGCGGUUCAUAUUCUUGUUGUUUCCACUGGUGAUUGAUCGAAAGCGGAAGUGAUUAUUUGGUUGUGAUUGACAUUUUGCGAUUGUUUAGAUAAGGAUUCAGAUUAGGAAAUUACAUGGAAAAGGAAGAGGAAGUUGAAAUCGGAACUGAACUUCCUCUCUCUGCGUUUGGAGUUUGGACUAUGCCUAUGUGUUCGUUCAAUAUUUGCUUCAGGAUUUAUGUGAACCCAGAACGCAAUUACAUUUGUUGACUAACAAUUUCUUCGUAAAAUUAACUUUUUAAUUUAGUAUCCAAUUUUCAUUGAAAAAUUACUUUCUAUAAAAUAAAUUAAUUAAGAGCUCUUUUGUCCAAGUGAUUAAAAAUUACUUAUUCUGAUAAUUUGUAUUUGAUUAAUUUAUUUUAAAAAUACUUUUGAUAAACAUAUUAUGUUUAACUAAUAUUAUUUUAAAAAGUUAAAUCACAAAUAAGAAUAAGUAUCUAUGCACCUUUACUAUUAAAUUUAUUUUAUAGAAAGAAAAUUAUUUUAUAUAAUUAUUAUAAAAGACUUUAAUGAUAUUUUACUUGUAUUUAUUGAAACGUAUAUUUCAAAUUUUCAAUACAUAAAUAAAUCAAAUAGUGAUAUAUUAUUAACAUGAAGAUUUAGCUAUACUAAAAAAUAUUUAAAACUAUUUCACAAAUUAAAUCAGUAGGAAAAAUUCACCACAAUAUAAGUAGAAUUUGUUAGCUGCAAAGGUAAAACUAUGAAUAAUAAUAUAUAAAAUGUAAAAUAAAACACAUGUGUAUAAAUUAACAAAACUAAUGAGUUAUGCUAAUAAAUUAAUAAGAGAUAUAUAUUAAAUAUAUAUAAAUGGUAUGACAUUGUUAACUUGAAAAAAAUAUUUUUUUGCUCCGCACAAAAACUGUUUCUGCUUCUAUUUAAAAACAGUUUUACACCUCAUUUCUCAGAGAACGAAAAAAAAAAGAGAGUAUUUUUUUCUUAGAAAAAAAAAAUGUUUUUGGCCUCCCAACCACUUGCCAAAACAGACCAAGUAAAGGAAAGCAAUGCAGAAGUUAUGCAUUUCUCUUUCGGCAUCUAUAGAAUUGUUUAUCCUCUAAACAUGUCCCUGCAAAUGAGUUAUCUUCUAGUACUAUACAAAGAUAGGGAAAAGGCAGGAGUUCUAUUAUAUCUUCAGUUACAAAAAGGGUUGGCUGCUAAGUCACUCGAAUAAGUAAUACAACCAUGACAAAGACUAAUGUCAUGACAAAGAUCAAAAGCCACUGGAAGCAUGUUGUCUUGAAACUCCGCGAAUACACAUCCAUUGCUCUGGAAGUUGCAUGCCCUGUACUUGCCAGGCUAUGCUCAACUGCUUUCUCAGUUGAAUCAAGUAUCUGCAUCCACAUUAUAUAUGACAACUAUGAGGACAAUAUUGACAAAGUGACUAGUAAAACCAGAGACUAAAGUAAAAAGUUUGUAACUAGACAAGAUGAAUAAGAAAUCCAGUGAAUCUGAACAACCUAAAUACCACAGUUUUUUAUUUCUUUUCCGCACUGAAUUAGUAAAGAAUCUUCAAACAUGUAGUAAUAUCAGAGAUAGACUAAUAAAAUAUUGUUGUGUCAGAAAAGAUAGUUUAGGUUACCAAUGGCCUCAAUUGCCUCCCAACAGGCAAAAUAGUUUAGAUUGGAGACACAAAAUCACUCUCAAAGCAAAAAUUGUUAAGAGAGUAAGUUCCCAAGUCCCAACAAUUUAAGCAAAAUGAAACGAAACAAAGACUUUACUUUCUCGGUGUUUUUGAUGGAUUGAUUCAUCAUGAGACUGCUCUCUUUGAGCUGCCGUGCCAAAACAACCAUUUCAUCAGUCAAAUCCUCCUGAAGUUUCCUGCAAAAGAUGAGAAUAUCUGAUAGUUUAUCAAGUAGACUCUACCUAACUAAUCUCACUCCUCUCUGAGAGAAAAAAAUAUUGCAUAAAUAAGUGAUUAGUUUCUGUGGUUACUUUUCUCCUACAAUGAAAAAGACUGGACAAACAGAUGGUAGUGGCAAAGAUGCACUAUGGAUCAUGUACUAGAACAGUUGGGAACAUACAUCUAGUUGAGGCACAUAUACAUACAUCACUUCAGAUGGAGGCCUAGGCCUCCUAAGAGCCCCAAACUAUCAUCUUCAAUUUUCAAAUAUAUGCUUCCAAACAACUCUCUAUCCACAUGUGUUAGUUGCAGAGAUGAUGUAUAAUUCCUUUGCUUCUGUGCAGUGCCUCAGCUCAGUGAUAAAAGUAAGCCUCACAAGUGUAGAUAAGCAAUUUUACUUGGAUCAUUACCAAGUAAAUAUUUCAAAACAACCCUUUUUACAAAAUAGAGCCCUACUUGCGUCCUUGUAAAAAAUGAAGGUUGCUUACACAAUUCAUUAGUUCAUCUGCAAUAUUACAAGUCUCAAUGUUUCAUCUUAUGCCAAAAAACCGAAGACAGCAAACAAUUAGACUUCAGGUUUAUGAACUCGAAGCAUCUCUUAUUUCUCUCCCUCCACAAAUUCCAUACAAUAUUGUAAGGGAUGGCGUUUUGGAUCUUCUUGGUGGCUUUUCCUAUCUUUCUUACAUACCAGCUGAGAUAUGCAAACUUAAACCUGUUUAGCAUCUAAAAGAAGUUCAAAGACAUGUCCCACCUUUCCAAAGCAACUGCACAAUGUAAGUACAAAUGAUUGGUAUCUUUCAUUUCUUGACCACAAAAAUGACACCUGUUGCAUAAUGUAGAUCCUCUCCUUCUCAAGUUUUCUUCUGUAAGGCGUGACUCAUGAAGAACACCCAGCCAAAAGAAUAAACUCAAAAGGGUACUUCACAUUUUGUUCAUUAUUAGAGACUACUUAGGGGCCACCUAAAGGGAGUUGGAUUGGGCAGGGUUGGGUAUAUACCUGUACCCGCAUGGGUUGUGGAGGUCCACUGGGGGACCGUACCAGUAAAAUGCCAAAUCAGCUCCAGUAAUGAGGAACCGGACCAGCGGGGUUUGAUGGUAACUUUUUUUUUAUAAAAAAAUUCCGUUUCAAUUUGACCGUUGGUCCCCCCAAACAGCUAUGUUUCAGUUUUUGCAAUUUAAGCCAAUUUUCUGUUUUUUGUUGUAAAAAAUAACCCCUCCCCUUAAUUUUCCCUUUACAAAAUCUAUAAACCACCCCCACCCCAUCCCUCACCCCCCUAUCAUAUUUUCCCACAACUCUCUCUCUCUCUCUAAUCUUUCAACUUUCAUCUCAUUUGAAUUAUCUCUUGAAGUGCUAGCAAGAUUUAAUAGUUUUCUUAAUUAUGAGUUUAUUUUUAUUUUGGUUUAUUUGGUAAUUCAAUAGUAAAGAGCAAGUUGCACUUGUGCUACCGUCCAAGUCAAGUAUUCAACUUAUUGCAGCCCCUUAACACCCUUAUCUAAGAGUCUCUUGACCUCCUCAUGUAGUGUAUCCAGUUGUCACUGUGAUAUACUCUACCUUUCCAGCAUCCCUAACAAGAUUGAUUUUACUUCCCCAAUCCAAGCAAUGCAUUUUGAGUUUAAGGUCCCAUCCUCCAUUCUUCCUACAUGGUAACAAUAGUGAAAACCUGAAGAAAUUGUUUCCUUUAAGGACAUCUCCGACCCAUAACACCAAAUUUUACACCAAAACAGGGUUUGGUGUAAAAUUUCGUGUUGGGUUGGAGAUGGACUAAAAGAGUAUGCCCCAGUCUAGGAUUUUAUCUUAUCAUCUCUAAAAUUAUUAAAAUAGACCUAAAUUUUGAGUUCUACAGAUGAUGCCUUAUCUAUAGGAGGAAACAACAGCCUUUGUGCACCAAUGUUCAUCUGCAUACCAUAAUUUGCAUUAACAACCUUCCCCACAAAGUUUCAUCUUCGUGGUUCUAUCUCCAUAACCAUUUACAUAGCAAACAUCUACAGAGAACUCACACAUUCACACACACACCCCUCUUCCUUUUUUUCAGUGUUAAGACAACUUUUGUGUUGUGGUUGCCUUCCCACGAAAUGUUCUUUCUUCUUUUGUCCAAAUAUUUCAAAAAAUUAUCAGGCACAAGAAACAAAGACAUGAAGUAGGGAGGAAUGAUGUCUAAUCAACUGUUUAUGAAUUAAUCAAAUGAUGUCUAAUCAACUAUUUAUUAGUUAAUCUUCCCCAUAUUGACAAAUUAUUUUUCUUUCGAGUUGCUAACCUUUUUCAAACUUUUCCUAUACUUGCAAAACUUCAAUAGAAUUAUGCUCAUCUCCUAAAGGGAGCCCUGAAUGCAUUGAAUUCUCCUACUUUUGCACCCAGAUAUAUUUACAAGUAUUAGCUUAUUGCCUUAUCAUCCAUACAUCAGACGUUGCUUAGGUUUAUAUUCAAACCUGAAACAACUUUAAAAGCCAGUGGGCCACCUUAAGAAACAUCAUAUGUUUUUCCUUGUUUCACACACUAACAUUGCACCAUUGGCAUAGAAACUAUGUGAGUUAUUAUAUUAUUGUCUUUUUAUUUUCUGAAAAGACAGAUGUUAAGUUAUUGUCCUCUGGACCAAAAAAAAAAAAGAUACCUACAUACCUUUAUCAUAUGGGAUAUUCCCUCCCAGGCACGAAUACCAAUGCACUUUCUCUGUCCUACUUUCUAGGGCAGUAGAAGACCAUUUUUCCGGCAGCAACCACCGGAAUCUUAGCCUUUUCUUUCUAAGCCAACAAUUAUCACCCACUGUGAUAAUUGCUACACACUUUAGCCUAGGAUGGAAGAGAAUAGAAUUUAUUUUAAUGCUGGGUUUAAGUCAUUUGACAUCACUAGAUGGAACUCGAGCAAGUCUGAAUGGUAUGAAUGGGUUGAAAGAAGUAGAAAGAAGAUGACGAGGUCAGUUAUGAGCAAGAAAGCUAUGGAAUGGAUAUGUUUCUGCCUGAGAGAGGCUUCAAAGGAGCAUAAAAAGGAGACGAGAAGAUGGAAACUAGCAGAUAGAGAGGCAGAGCUUUUUUGUACUAAGAAGCAAAAUGAAUAUGGGAAAUUUAUGAGCGUGAUAACCUUAAAUAGUGGUGGAAGGUCGGGCUUAAUCAUACCGGAACUUGCAUUAAAUGCAGGGUGGGUGGAUAUUGCAUUAAAGAUUGAGAGAUUCAUUAAAUGUCAUCAAAGAGAGAAGGAACAUUCUUUCUCAAGGGUGACGGAGGAAGAAUACUCUUAUGCUGAGGCUGUCCAACAGAGUAAAUGGGGGAGCAGUAAUUUAAGAAGAGCCGAGAUGAACACCAAGAAAGGAAGCAUUCUGAUUACUAAGCCAGUGAAUAUUAAGGAGGAAGAUCUCCUCAAGAGAUGUCUUAUAGGAUAUUGCACUGCAGGAAAGAAGGAGAAACCAACUCUGGCGGAUAUCAGGAGCUGGUCCUCAACAAACUGGAAAAAGGUCUUUGGAGUCAACAUAUAUGAAUUGAACAGCGAAAUGUUCCUUUUCGAAUUCCCCAAUAGAUACAUGGCGGAAUUGAUCAUCCAAGGCCAAUGGAGGUGGAAGAGUAGCAUAUUUCAUCUAGAUUGGUGGAGUCCAACAACAGGGUGCACUCCUAGCCCGUCAACUGUGCGUGAAACUUGGAUUAGAGUAGUGGGGAUUCCAUUGCAUUUGUGGUCUAGGAAGGUCUUCCAAGAAAUUGGGGAUCUGUGUGGAGGUUGGAUUGAGACAGAAGAAGAAACUGAGCUAAAAAACCACCUGAAGUGGGCAAGGAUUCUGGUGAAAAACAACGGGAGAAACCUUCCGAAAGAGGUCUCUGUUGCUUGUGAUGGAAUCACAUAUUUUUUUCCAAUUUGGGCAGAAAGCAAACCCAGAUUCGAAAUAAGGCCGGAAAGUGGAGGCAUAGUCGCCGGGGAAGAUGAGGUCUUUUGCCCAGGGAAUAGGUUUAUCCAGAGGUCUGAUGGCGUAAAUAUCUGUGACAUAGUACCAAAAUCCCAUCCUUUUAGGGAUUUUAGUACAUCGAAGCACGUGGGCUGUACUUCGACAGCUAGAAAGACAAUGGGGAAUGGAGCACGUGAGAGGCAUGUGAGUUUUUUAAAUGAGAGGGCUGAACUGGGCCCAUCAGGAAAGCCCAAGAAGAAUAACAAUUCUAAAUGGCCCAAUGGCCCUGAUUUUGCAGCACAUGUCAUCUUUAAUGAUUUACAAGGGACAAAGAUCGGCUACACAGAAACCCAUAAAUUGGCUGGUGACAUAACAGCCUUGCACGUGUUCAAUUCAGGCCAAGGAAAGCAGAACAUGAACACAAAAGUCGUGACAGAGCUGCUGGAGGAAGAAAUCAGGGGAGAUUUGAUGAUAACGGGAGAGGAAGAACCUAACUCCACAGAUAGGGGAGAGGAUAGAGAAAUUACAAAGUCAGGGGAGACUGGGCUAGCAAUACAAAGCUCAAACACAGAAAUAGUUAAUUGGGAGGUGGAGGAACCUGUACCAAUUAUGGUGCAGCAACAACAAAGGGCUCAAGAUGUAGACAAAGCGAAUUCAACAUGGGUACAACAGAACUUGAUAAAACUGGGGAAAAUCUUUGGGAUCGAUUUCCAAGGGCAUGAAGAGGAGGCAACAGAGUUACUACUACAAAUAGACAGUUGCAGACAAGUCAGGAGAAUGGAGCAGGAUACAGAAGUUAAGAAACUCAAGAUCAAGGGUGCACAAGAACUUAAAAGUCUUGUAGCCUUUGAUGUAAAAUUUAAAAGUUCUGGAAGUAGGAAUAAGGGGAGGAACACAAUUUUCAAUACAUGAUGAAGUUUAAGCUAAUAUCAUGGAAUGUUAGGGGAUUAAACGACAGGGAGAAGAGAAGGGUUGUACAUAGUUUGUUGUCUGGAUGGAGAGCAGAUAUAGUGUGUCUCCAAGAAACAAAAAUUGAAGGGGAUAUUUCAGAGAUGGUAAAACAGAUUUGGGGAGGCAGGUGGAUUAGACAUGCCUGUCUAAAAGCAAGUGGAACAAGAGGAGGUAUCUUAUUGAUGUGGGAUGCGAGGGCAUGGAUGGGGGAGGUCUUGGAAAUUGGUUCUUACACCAUUACUUGUAAAUUUGAAUCACAAACCCAGAAUUUUAGCUGCCAUAUAUCUGGAGUGUAUGCUCCUAAUUGUUACAAGGAAAGGAGACUUGUAUGGGAAGAAUUGAGCUCAGUAAGGGGGUUGAUAGAGGGACCCUGGGCAAUGUGUGGGGACUUCAAUGUAUCUAGGUACAUAUCUGAGAAGAAGAACUGCAACAGAAGAACUAAGGGAAUGAGAGAGUUUUCUGAUUUCAUAGAGGACAUGGAAUUAGUUGACAUGCAAUUAGAAGAUGCUGCAUACACAUGGUUUAAGGGAGAUCAACAGGAGGCAGCCUCCAGAAUUGAUAGAAUCAUGAUUUCUAAAGAAUGGGAUGAUACCUUCAACAAUUUGAAACAGAUUCCUCUUCAAAGGCUGGGCUCAGAUCAUAUACCAAUAGCGUUGAUUACUGGUUGCUGGGAGAGAAAUAAAAGCUACUUCAAGUUUGAAAAUUGGUGGCUGCAGUCAGAAGGAUUUGUGGAUAGAGUUAGAGAGUGGUGGAGCUCCUUCAGUUACACAGGAAGAGUUACACAGGAAGACCUGAUUAUGUUUUGGCAUGCAAACUUAAAGCACUGAAACUUAAGCUAAAGGAAUGGAAACAAGAAGAGGGUGGAAAUCUGGGCAGUCAAAGAAGGAGAUUGUUAGAGCAGUUAGCAGAAUUAGAUACAGAAAGGGUAAAUAGAACUCUCACUGUGGAGGAAACGACAAAAAAGGCUGCAAUCUUACUUGAGUAUGAAGAGCUAGUCAAGAAAGAGGAAGUUUCAUGGAGACAGAAAUCAAGAGUACUAUGGUUGAAGGAGGGAGACAAGAACACCAAAUUCUUCCACAAAAUGGCAAAUGCUCACAGGAGAUAUAACAAUAUAGAUCAACUCAUGAUACAAGGAGAGGUUACUCAAGAGAAAAGCAGAAUUGAAGGGGAGAUAAUAGCAUAUUAUAAGAACCUGUAUAGAGAAACACAUCAAUGGAGACCUUAUAAUAAUGCUGAAUGUCCAAUGUUGACUGAAGAGGAAAAACUGUCCCUGCAAGGCAGAUUUGAGGAGAAUGAAGUUCUAAAUUGCCUAAAGCUAUGUGCAGCCGAUAAGGCUCCUGGUCCAGAUGGGUACACAAUGGGUUUCUUCAUCAAGUGUUGGGAUGUACUGAAGAAAGACAUCAUGGACACAUUUCAAAACUUUUAUGAGCAAGAAGUCUUCGAGAAGAGUUUCAACGCUACCUUCAUUGCACUCAUUCCAAAGAAAAAAGGAGCCAAUGAGUUAAGGGACUACAGACCAAUUAGCCUCAUAGGGAGCAUUUACAAAAUACUCUCCAAAGUUCUCACAGAAAGGUUGAAAGCUGUGAUAGAUAGACNNNNNNNNNNNNNNNNNNNNNNNNNNNNNNNNNNNNNNNNNNNNNNNNNNNNNNNNNNNNNNNNNNNNNNNNNNNNNNNNNNNNNNNNNNNNNNNNNNNNNNNNNNNNNNNNNNNNNNNNNNNNNNNNNNNNNNNNNNNNNNNNNNNNNNNNNNNNNNNNNNNNNNNNNNNNNNNNNNNNNNNNNNNNNNNNNNNNNNNNNNNNNNNNNNNNNNNNNNNNNNNNNNNNNNNNNNNNNNNNNNNNNNNNNNNNNNNNNNNNNNNNNNNNNNNNNNNNNNNNNNNNNNNNNNNNNNNNNNNNNNNNNNNNNNNNNNNNNNNNNNNNNNNNNNNNNNNNNNNNNNNNNNNNNNNNNNNNNNNNNNNNNNNNNNNNNNNNNNNNNNNNNNNNNNNNNNNNNNNNNNNNNNNNNNNNNNNNNNNNNNNNNNNNNNNNNNNNNNNNNNNNNNNNNNNNNNNNNNNNNNNNNNNNNNNNNNNNNNNNNNNNNNNNNNNNNNNNNNNNNNNNNNNNNNNNNNNNNNNNNNNNNNNNNNNNNNNNNNNNNNNNNNNNNNNNNNNNNNNNNNNNNNNNNNNNNNNNNNNNNNNNNNNNNNNNNNNNNNNNNNNNNNNNNNNNNNNNNNNNNNNNNNNNNNNNNNNNNNNNNNNNNNNNNNNNNNNNNNNNNNNNNNNNNNNNNNNNNNNNNNNNNNNNNNNNNNNNNNNNNNNNNNNNNNNNNNNNNNNNNNNNNNNNNNNNNNNNNNNNNNNNNNNNNNNNNNNNNNNNNNNNNNNNNNNNNNNNNNNNNNNNNNNNNNNNNNNNNNNNNNNNNNNNNNNNNNNNNNNNNNNNNNNNNNNNNNNNNNNNNNNNNNNNNNNNNNNNNNNNNNNNNNNNNNNNNNNNNNNNNNNNNNNNNNNNNNNNNNNNNNNNNNNNNNNNNNNNNNNNNNNNNNNNNNNNNNNNNNNNNNNNNNNNNNNNNNNNNNNNNNNNNNNNNNNNNNNNNNNNNNNNNNNNNNNNNNNNNNNNNNNNNNNNNNNNNNNNNNNNNNNNNNNNNNNNNNNNNNNNNNNNNNNNNNNNNNNNNNNGGAAAUACUCAAAUGAAAACCAAACACUUCGGAGAAGAGCGAUAAGUGCCAAAUAUGAGAAUGAAGAUAGUUGGAUGACUAAGAUUGUGACCACACCUUAUGGGAUCAGUUUAUGGAGAUCCAUAAGAGCAUUAUGGGAGGAAGUUAAACCCAAAUUCAAGAUGAAAGUGGGGAAUGGGAACAAAAUCAAAUUCUGGAAGGAUGAAUGGCAUGAGAAAGGUAACCUGGAAACUCUUUUCCCUGAUAUUUACAAUCUGGCAAUGUUCCAACAAAGAACUAUUGCAGAACUAUGGACACCACAAGGGUGGAAUUUCAUCUUCAGGAGAGAACCAAAUGACUGGGAAGUGAUGAGGUUGGCAGAAUUCCUCAAGUUGGUUGGACAUUUUACUGGACUUCAGGCAUAUGAGGAUAUGCUUUGGUGGAAAGGCAACAAUAGAGGAGAGUUCAAAGUGCAUUCAGCUUACAGGCUGAUGGAUGAAUCAAGCCAGCAGAGUCCCAUCUGGCCUUGGAAACAAGUAUGGAAGUGUAGAAUCCCACACAAAGUCUCAUGCUUUAUUUGGCUGCUAGCUAAGGAAGCUGCCCUGACUCAGGAUAAUGUAAUGAAAAGGGGGAUAACCUUAUGCUCUAGGUGUUUCCUAUGUGGGGAAACCUUAGAAACUGUAAACCAUCUAUUUCUACACUGCAAAUACACCCGGCAGCUUUGGAGGAUUUUCUUGAGCCUUAAAGGCAUAUCCUGGACUAUGCCUAGGAGAGUUACUGAGGCCUUGUACAGCUGGGAGGAGGCAGGUGCCCUUGCAAAAGACAGAACUAGAUGGAGAAUUAUCCCUGCUUCAAUAUGGUGGGCAAUCUGGAAAGAAAGGAAUUCCAGAUGUUUUGAAGGCAUAGAAAAUAGUGUGCAGGAUGUUAAACUAAACUGCAUUUUGUUGUUAUGUUUUUGGUGUAAUCAAUUAUACUCAAAUGACACUGUCUCUAUAGUUGAUGUUCUAGACUCAAUAUAGAAAUAGAGUAGGAGUGUCUAGAGUGCAUCUGUAUAUAAGGUUUGAGUACAACCCAUGUACUUUUGUGAUAUAAUACAUCGUUACCAUUUUCAAAAAAGUUAUUGUCCUCUGGACCUACCUUAAAUCCACUUAAACAUCAUUUCUCCAUUGCCUAGUCCAACAUUCUACCAAGACAUUGCAAUAACAGGAAUAGGAAGAAGAUCUGCCUGCCUCGGGAGUCGAGACAAGAAAAAUCAGCAUAACUCCUAUAUAUUAAUGUAGAAAACUUAACUGGGAAAUGCAAUAAUUUACCAACUCCUCUAUUUCUAUCAAAAUCCAUCUCUUUAAAGAGAAACUGACCACCUCACAUGGUCAUAUGCUUUCUCUACAUCUAAUUUACAAUGGAUACCUAUUUUUCAUUGUCUCCUUCUUCAGUCCAACUUCUCAUUAGCAACUAAGUUGCUCCUAUUAUCUGCCUCCGUUCACAAAAGCAUAUUGAAAAUCGAACUACUUCUGUAAAUAUUAACUUCAACCUUUCAACUACCUUUGUCAGGAUGUUAUCCAUAAAGAUACACCCAUAAAUUUUUUUUAGUUUUUUUCGUUUUUUUUUGGUGUUCUUUUAGAUGAAGAUGAAUUUUUUUCACUUUCUUUUUCUCAUUUUUUCCGGGGGGUUGGGGGGGGGGGGGGGGGGGGUGAGAGUAUUCUUCAGUGUUCUGCUUAUUAUUAUUUAACUAGCUCAACUACACCAUAAGAGCACACAUCUACUAUCACUUUUAGUCACACAUGGCAAGCUGUACCUUUUCAGGAACAGAUACACAUUGGGGAAGCCCUUGGUGGAACAGAAGUCAACAAGCAAAACUGUCUAUAAAUAUUAAUACAGAAAAGAAGUACAGAUAGAGCACCUGUGCUUCUCAAUAUGUGUCCGUGCAGCAUCAUCCAGUUUAACUGCAGCUGAUGAUUGAUCAGAAUCAAUGGUAUCUCGGGAUUUCUCCUCAUUGUUUGAAUGGACCCUGUUUCACUCAAAGAACAACAGUCAAGAGAGAUAAAUAUAAAAUGACACAUUGCAAUGGUUAUAAAUGAAAAAAGACCCAAGCAAGUACCCAAAUCUUCUUCUCAAUCCUUCAGAAGCAGAAUUCACACUUCCUUCUGCUUUAGGAGUUCCACUGCUGGAAAUCUCACCCUCAGGUUCCUUGGGUGUAUGCACAUCAGACUGGAUGUGGUUGAAGAUAAUUUUGUUGUUAAUCAUAUAAUAGAAGCAAGAAAUAUUUUCGAAAAACUACUAGCAUGUGGUUACUAGCAAAGGAAGCAGUGCUGACACAAGAGAAUAUAAAGAAGAGGAAGUUCCAACUAUGCUCAAGAUGCUAUCUGUGUGAGGAACAGGAAGAGACAGUCAACCAUCUCUUUUUGCAUUGCAAAUGGACAGAUCAAUUAUGGAGAAUAUUCAGCAGCCUUAGAAAGAUCACUUGGGUGAAACCAAGAAACAUAGCACAACUCCUAAAUUGUUGGAUCAAUAUUGGCAAUACUACAAUUAAGGAGGAGAGAUGGAGGAUUGUCCCAGCAUGUAUAUGGUGGACAGUAUGGAAAGAAAGGAAUCAAAGAUGUUUUGAGGCAAGAAGAACAAUGUGCAGAAUUUCAAGAUGAAUUGUAUAGCUCUUUAUUAUUUUUGGUGUAAACAGAAAGUCUUAGUACAGGCAGAAGAACUUUUUGAUGUUUUAGACUAUUUGUGACAAAAAGCAUAGAUGGAGUCAGUCUAGUUUGUAAUACUUUUGGGAGAGGGGCUACUUUGAUGUAGUAUACCUGUGGAUAAAUAGAAGAAAAAGUUACCAUUCUCAAAAAAAAAAAAUAAGUUGAUCUAAUAUAAGUUGAAGGUGACUCCAGAAGAGAAGAUUGAACCACGUUCAAAAACAUCGAAAGGACAGAAGUAUGACAACAAAAGUAACAGUAAGACCAGAGGAAUAAUGAAGUCUGAAAUGCUGAGCAUUAUGGACAAAAAGCAAACAAUGAGGUACUAAACUUUAAGGGCAUUCUACUGAUAAAAACAAAGCCAGCUCUUUCAUAUUCCAUAAAAUAUCAGUAAAUAUACUGCAAUAUGAUAUGUUUUCGUAUAAUAAAGCAAGGUGAAUCUGAAUGGUAAAUCACAGGAAAUGAAACUAGCACAUGCAUACCGUGGGCACAGCUAACUUGGCAGCAACAGCUUCAAUGUUCUCAGCAUAUUCAUUCACCUUGGCUUUUGAAAUCCUAUUUUGGGAGACAACAUGAAAAUGGAGCACACAUCAGGAAGAAAGCAUCUAGUGAAUUUUAAAAAAAUAGAGAUUCAAUAAGAACAUACACCCUCAAGCAAAAUGUUUCAAGCAUUACAUCAAUCUAAAUUAGUUUUUUUUAAUACAGGAAAAACUCACAUGACUGGUUUAUAAAAGUUUAAAACGUUCUCCUCAUACAGUAAAGAAAAAAAUUGGUGUUGUUAUAAGUAUAUUGCUGAAGUUCUAAUCUAAACACAUGAAGAUAAUAAUUCCUUUCAUGCCAUCCCUGUCCAUUGCACGGAGAACAAAAUAACUACUUCCACACAUCACCAAACGGUCUGCACAGAGAUUACUAAUACUAGCAUCAUGACUUCCUCCAUAGAAGGAGACAAGAUAGACCAGUCAUACUGUCAGGAUGCGAUCUUUUUCAUUAUAGGCAGGAUAUUAGUCCACUGUAUAAAAAUAUAACUAAAAUAUGUCCAAUGAGGAGAGAGGGUAGGCGGAGUUGAGAUCGAAGGAGGGUGAUUUUCCAUCGAAUCGACCAUGAUAAGAGGUUUCCAAUUUAUAACUUAUGUAAUAGGUAAAGUGAAAUGUCUAGGAAGCAUACGUUUAAAUUUAAAUGAUAAUUCCAACCAAACGAACAGAAGGCAGGGACUUUAUAAAGAACAGUCACAUUGGUACGGAAACCAACAGUCUGGAAAUUUUGUAGCAGCAUGCUAUUUUCUUCAAAUUAACUAAUUGAAAAAGAACAAAGCAUACAGACCUUGGUAAUCCAUCAGGAUUCCUCUCUUCAGCCAACUGCUCCAGCAGUUCCCUCAAAGUGGCAACAUACUGUGAAAGAUGUACCAAAAGGAAAAAGUAUAUGCAUAUGCCCAUUGAAAGAAAAAUAUUAGAUGAAAAAAACUGUACAGUUCCCUACAUAAGCAAUUGCAAUGCCAUGAUUUCUGAAAAACUUUUCAUAGAAACAACCUAUACCACAAUUUGAGGCUGUGAGCACAGAAAUUAUCAACUUUCACAAAUAACAACUACGUCAGAGAACAUACAGAACAGGCAAAGAUCAGCUUCCUGAAAUAAAUAGAGGCUCCACCAGAGACAUCAAAAACAGUUGAUGCAUGAUUGUUCAGUAGAUUAGGGAAGACAAGGAGGUAUUACUAUGACUCUUUAUCUCUCAUCCUACAUGACUAGAAAUAUUCAGUAGGCGGACGAGCCAUCCUGAGCCCUGUUCAUCCUAGAUAUGGUGAUAUUGCAGUACUACUAAUCUUAAUCACCAUGUCGAGAUCAGAAAAAUACUAUUGCUCCAAGAAAUAUAUUGACAGGUGAAUGUGUUGAAGGCAUGCAAGUGGGGUACAACACUGUACACAAAAUUUGUAUUGCAAAGCCAAAAGAUGUAUCCUUAAGAACGCAAACCUUUAAGGAUUAAAAUCAUCUAAUCAAGAAUAUAAUAUCUUAAUUAAUAUGUAUCCAAAAAAACAGCACAGUCGAAUUAAUGAGCUGAUAAAUUCACCGUGUUUGCGACAGGUUUCACAUAAUGCAAACCCAAGCAGGGAAGAAUGAAAAGAAAAAUAAGCAAACGCAACCAUCAUUUCUCUAUAAAGAGUUGAACUUGAAUGACCUGUGCAUACAUGUAUAAGCUUUGCUUGAUUUUGCUGUUGUGGUGCAGUUACAAGUAACCUCUUCAAGUUCACUUCGGUUUUGCUCAUCCCCAUGACACCCUCUAGGGUACUUUCUGUCAAUAGCUGAUCAAGAAAAUCAAGCCUUUCUGAACCCGUUUGUAAUCUAGCAGAACUGUACAAAAGUAUGCAAAUUUUCUACUCUUCACAUCAGAUUAUGUUUCUUCUUUAUUUUAGAAUAAUCAUCUAGCUCUAUCAUGCACUUCUAGCAUCUUCACACUAUAAAAUUACGAAAUAAUGAAGUGUACAUAGUCUUAGUUUAAACGUUCAUUUUUCCUACUUCAAUUGCUUAAUAAUCACAUAUCCAAAAUAUUUGUAAUUCAAAACAAACUAAUAAUUGAAGAAGAUUAAUGGAGUGAUCAACUUCUCUACAUAAUGAAUGCACCAUAAUCCAAUCAAACAAAAAGGCCAACUUGAACUCAUACUAAAACCAACUCACGAACUAGUCAAUGCAUAGGAUCCAAUCACACAGAGAAACAGAAACCUAAAGAAAAGGUUUAUUUUUAUAGAACCCAGUAGGAAUCUGGGUAUCCAGUUAAUUUGAUGCUUCAUAUCAACUUUCUCUUUUUCAUUAAGAGGGUUUUGGAUUUCCUAAAGGAUUUUGUCCUUGUUCACUGCCAAAUCCAAGUUUUUCAAGGAGAAAGAAAUAGAAAAUAGAAUGAGAACUUACAACUUUGUUUUUGAAUCUGUAUUAAACAACUUCAUUUCUGAAGCUUUGGUAUGUAAAAGGUUCCUCGUGAAGUUGAAACGCGUAAAUGGAUUUGACUACAAGCUAGGGAAACUAUGUAUGAACCCAAAGUCCUAUCGAAGAAUAACAACCAAUUUUUAAAGAUAUUGUCUCUUUCUUCUUCUCCUCUUAUCCUUCCCUUUUUUUUUGGGUAUAAAAAUUAGUUUGUAGUACAACUGACAAUAUGACUGACACAAAUAAACAAAAGAAAAAACAGUAUUUUUACAUACAACCAGUAAAGCGACGAUAUUUGGUAAGAAAAAACACUAAAUCUACAUUCAGUUCUUUUGCUUUAUGUUUAUCUGAAACUCUCAGGAUCUAGUGCACGUCUACUGCCAAAGACCAGAACAAUUCAGCAGAGACCAAAAAGCAUGGGCAGAGUUACCCAGUAUCACGUACUGGGAGAUAGCAGGUAGCCGAUGAAAGCGAAAGUUGACAGGUACCACCAUUAUAAUUAAGAAAAAACAGUAUGUUCAUCAGAGGCAAUAGCUUCUAUGAUCAGAUGAAAGGUUUCAUUUCUUGUUUUCAUCAUAGGCAACAACAAAACAGUUCUUGCAUAAUCUUUUUGGUUAUAAAAAAAAAAUGGUCUUUCAUCUAUUUACAUAAUAAUGCAUUGUAUGCUUGAUUCAGUUGAAAGUCAUUAGUAGAGUAAUUAACAUACAAUGACCUGCAUAAAAUAAGCUCUUUUCUCCAUGAUCUCUAAAAUUAGUAAGUUAUACUACCUUAAGAAAUAUGUAUUCACCUAAACAGGUAUAUCCACUAAAAGUUUAGUCCUUAAAUCACUGUACAAGGAUAUACGAACCUUGGAUUAUCAUUACAAAAAAAAAAUGAAUUGGGAUUAGGGCUUUUACUUUUUCUUCUCUGAGUUUGAUGUAAAGAUACUUACAGAGGAUCGCCGGUAGCUUGGAUCUAGCCGGGACUGGACUGCCGAGCGGCUGGGUAGGGUCUCGCUGGAGCUGGACUCGGGGUUUAUUGCAGGAAAGGCAAAAAGGAAAGAAUGGAGAGAGGGAAAGAAAAAUCGGAAAUGCUUACUUCAAAAUACUCUCUUUUUUAUUUUUCUUCUCAAACGUGAAAAUAAGAUUAAACAAAACAAUACUGAAGUAGAAACAUUUCCACAUAAUUUUGAGAAGGAAAAAAGAAACAUUUUUCAUAUUUCAUUUUACGUAAAAGGAUGAUAUUAUAAUAUGUAACUUCUUGAAGUUGUUGGAUCAUAAAUGAUUAAAUUUUAUUAUUUAUUAUUAUUAUUAUUAUUUUCCUUCGGUGUUCAAUACUCACAUCAGUGCUUGACUAACUUGAGUUUGCGUCGUGUAGGUGCUAGUUGAGGGAAGCGCUUUCUAUCAAUAAUUUUUUUCAUAUCCAGGAUUUGAACCUAGGAAAAAACAACUUCAUCCAUUGCACUACAUUCUUUGAAGGUGAUGGUUUAAAAAGUUGGACAAAGCUGAUUAUUUUUUAUUUAUUUUUUUAUUUUUUAUAAUAAUCGUACCAAACAUACAAAAUUUAUAUAUAAUUCAUGUAUAUAUUAAGAUUAUAAAUAAUUUUAAAUACUUUAAUUACUUUUUCACCAGAUUUUUUUUUUAUCUUUGAACUUUACACCUUAAGUCCAAUUCUUAAAAGAAAUUCAUGAAUCCAAACUUAUUUAUUUAAAGAAAUAACUAUGAGAUCUACCCUAAAAAAAUUUAUACAUUUUUAUAAAUUUUAUUCACUUGUUUAAAGCUUAUAUAUCCCAAGACAUUUUAUCCAUAAUCCAAAAAAAAAUUAUAGCUUUCAUAAUAAAAUGACAAUAAUAUACUAUAAGUUGAAAAAUUAUGAAAAAAAACUUUCCUAACAGUAGGAAAAAAUAAAAUGAGAGAUAGAAAGAUCAUUAAGUUUCUUAAAUAUUGAAAAACUGAACCAAAUGGAUUUACUUGACUAUCUUAGUAAGGAGUCGCCAAUUCCUUCUUACUAAGUUCUUAGUGAUUUUUUCUUUUGAUUUUCCAAUCGAAUUUCUGUAGGGUCCACUCGGAGUGAUGCUCCGAACACGAUUUUCUUCAUACUUAUUGAUGUUAUCAUGUACCACUGAUUGAAUUAGUUGAGUUCUGCUAGCAUGCAUAGGAAAGUUUCUUUGAAGUCUAUGAGGAGAUUUUGGCUAUCAUUUUCUGAAUCAGAGGUUGCCACUAGAUUAUUUUUUUUUUGGUUAGAUAACAACAAAUAUAACAAUACAAUACAAUAAAAUCUAAGUAAUACUAAUAACAAAAAACAUUGCACUAAGAAUAACAAUCCAAUACAUACCAACAAGAAUUGUGAUAGACUUGUAAGGACUGGAUACGAAAUUACAUUUGUUAGAGAGCGCUUUUAUCUUCCUGUGGGACUUUUGAGCACAAAUGCGGAUUUAGUCGGGUCACAAUGUAGGUACCAAACACCGGGUGGACAACCAAAAAGUAAAAACAUGACCCCCAAUGUAGGACUUUACGGCACGAGUCCAGAUUUAUGUGCUCCAGUGAAAUACCGGACACCGGGUGGAAAACCAAAAAAAUACAAUACAAUACGACAGGUAACAACCAUCCAAACAAGCUGUCUCAAGUAGUAUUACAUUUGAUUCCUGGUAUACAUGUUUAUACACUAAAGCACAAGGCAUUAUAGGGAAUACAUUUCCAUCCAACUUUACAGAAGUAUGUUCAGAUGGACAAGUAUUUCAUAUAUAUGGAGGUUCAUCCAGAAGUAUGUUUAUCAUCCAUACCCCUUUAAAAUCCAACUUCCAAAGGGACAUUAAUUCCCAGAACAGUAGAACACUGUCACAACAAGAAAUAAAUACGAAUUUUUUCGUUAAAAAAAAAUCUAAAAAUAUAUAAGAAUUACAAACCUACAUAUCUACAUGAAUGCAGAGCAGAGAAACUAACACUUUACUCAUAUUUGUACGAAGAAACCAAAAGUUUUAGUAGACUUCCACAUUCCAUUGCUCUGCCUUCUUCAACUGCUUUUUGUAAUCUGCCCAGUUAAUACCUUUCAAAAACAUAGGUAAGAAUGUUAGGGUUUGACUGAUAUAUAUAGUGGAUCAAGACAUGUAUAUCGGAUUUAAGUUAUAUACAUUGACGGCUUGACUGUAGUAGGUAGUACUUACUCUACCUUACAGUUUAACUCAACACAGUGCACAAAAGUCGAAUUCUUUUACACAUGUAUGUAUGGAAUAAUGAGAUAUUUGAAAUUAUGUUACCAUCUCUUUCAGCAAGUGAAGUCAUAAUGUCAUCGAUUCCCUGCUCCAUGCCUUUGAGUCCACACAUGUACACAAAUGUGUUGUCUUUCUUGAGUAAUGUCCAUAGUUCUUCAGCAUAUUCAGCCAUUCUGGUCUGGAUGUACAUCUUUUCGCCUUUCUCGUUAGUCUGCUCCCUACUCACAGCAAAGUCUAGUCUGAAGUUUUCCGGGGCCUUCUCCUUCAUUUUCUCGAAUUCCUGCAACAAGUUAUAAAUCUUAGUCCUGCAUUGUGACAUAGUACUAAAUUUUGUAUCCAAGAAGCAUUGAAGACUCAAAUUACCUCCUUGUAAAUAAGUGAGCUGCUUGUCGGUACGCCCAAGAAAAGCCAAGCUAAACCAUUGAACUGCAUAAAACCAAAACCGUGUCAUUCGAGGAGGUAAUGAAUAAAGUGAGAAGAAACUAUCAGUCAUAUAACUAUCGUGAAACUCGAAGCUGCAUAGUUCAAAGCUUUGGAUUAAUGGAGAUUGAAUUCUCUUAAAAGUGUCAAAACUAUUCAUCUUAGACACAUACAUCACAUAUGUUAGAUUCACCAUUACAUUCAUCUGAUCAAUUCCACUUCUGUCCUCAUUUUGACAUGAAAAGAUAAAAUACUAAUGAUUUCUGGUUUACCUUGUAAUCCUCAUGCUUCUCAAAGAACAUUUUCCACAAGAAUCCACGGAAAGGAGCAAUUCCAGUUCCAGUGGCAAGCUGCAAGAAGAAAAGAUCAAAGUCUAAUAAUUAACAACUAUGCUUAGUCAUAUUGAAGGAGAGCACACAGAAAUGACUAAUAGUGAUAACAUAGGAGCUAGCACGGACCAUUAUAACUGUCGCGUUGGGAUCCUUUGGCAUGAGCAUUUCUUUUCCAACAGGUCCAGUAAUCUUAACUUCAGCUCCAGGUUUCAAGUCACCUGAAUAUUAACAUUCCAAAGUAGGUGCAGGGAUCUAAGCAUAUAUUCUUAUAUUCAUUAAGAAAUGUUCAGGCCAAGUACAUGAGAAAAGAUGAAAUGCACGAGCUAAUAGCUAACAUUAAUGUUUGUAGGUUUAGGGAGUCCUUGAUUCUUACAUAAGAAGUUCGAGCAGACUCCUUUAACUAUUUCCCCUUUGUCAUUUGUGUAGACAAGCCUUUUGACACACAGAGAUACCUGAAUGAAACCUCUAGUUAAUUCAAAUACUAGAAGAAGGAUAAUAGCUAACUAACCAACCUAUGUUAGUGAAUUUCAAAUAGGGCACCCUUCACUAAGAAGAACGUCGAUUCUACAAGAUAAUGUAUGUAUACAAAUAGGUCAACACCACUCUUUACAGGACAAAUUAUAGCAAUAGGCCAACACAUCUUACAGAAAAUAAUGUUUACAUCACUGAAUCAUGUAGUGUUUUGGAUAAAAUUUGAAGGAAUAGGAAGUUUUAUAGCUUACGGUUUUGGAGUCUCCGAAGUCACCAAGGGCACUGCUAGCAAUGGAGUACAAUCUGAGCUUGUGGGGCUUCCCAUUACUGUCAACACCAUCAGGAAUCACUCCGAUAGAUUGGCCUUCUGUGUAUGGGAUCUCUCCUGAUCAACCCCAACACAAAAACCUCAAAUGAUCGUUUUACAAAGAGUUUAACUUCUAUACACUAGCUGUAUAAAAUAAUAUUUAUGCCACCAAGUUACAAUUACAUGAAGUGUCAAAAAUACUCAUACUGUCAUUAUAUAUAAGUUAAGUUCAUUUAACAAAUUCACUAAAAUCAAAUGAACUACUCCCUCCAUUUCAAUUGUUUGUCUUACUUUUCUUUUUAGUUCGUUUAAGAAUGUCUCUUUCCUUAUUUGACAACUCUUUAUUUUCAACUUUCAGAUACCACAAGAUUAAAAGACAGACAUUUUGGUACAUUCUACACAUGUUUAGUUUAAGACCAGAAGAUUCAAAAGUCUUCUACUUUCGUAAACUCUAUGCCAAGUCAAAGCCAGACAAACAAGUUCCAUACCCUCAGUAGAAAAGACCAUGUGCCAAGUUUCUCCAGGGGCAUCAUCUCCAGUGAUCUUAGUGUUGAGAAGGCAUCUGCCAAUAUAAGGAUCCUUUGGCCUGAACUUGUUUACAACUACACCUUCAUCCUGUUUCUUCGAUACCUUCGCAACCUUUGCAGGUACUUCUGUUGUGAGUUGAGCUCUAAUGGGAAACACUUUUCCACCAGCUGAUACAUUUCUGUUGCAUAAAGGAACCUGUUCAAACAAAUAUAACUUGUGUACACUCAGAGUGUAGCUUUUUUUAAUUAUUAUUUUACACUAUGAAGUAUAAGUCAUUAGAAAAGUAAAUAAAAUGUACUAAGUGAAUUGCUUAGUUAUCUUUUACAACAUCUUUAAGUGAAAAUUCUUUUAUACUGCCAGUGGAUAUAAGUUAAUUCUGUGAUGAUCUCCGAGAAAAAAGGAAAAUGAAUCGAAAUUUACCUUGUUGAAGGUAAUAUUUUCAGGGGAGAUGAAGAUGGUUUUGAUGGAAAGACAAGUUGAAUUAGAGGAUGGUAGAGAGAGUGAAGCACUUAAUGCCCCAGCCAUAUUGGUUAUGAUGCUGAGAAAUAGUAGAAGAAAUUGAGAGUGGUGAACAAAAGAAUUUUUUUUUGGGGUGGGGUGGGGGUGGGUUAGGGGGGGAGUGAGGUUGUUAAGAAGAAAAUUAGGAGAAAGGUAAAGAACUAGGAGCUUUCUGGAGAGAAGAUGAGUUGAUUUAGAGUUAAUGUGUGGAGGAGAUUGGAAGAUCAAGAUGUGAGGAUAAGGAAAAAUGCACAAUUUAGGCCUAAGGUCUUUUGACAAAAUUUAAAAUAGUGUAAUUUGAAGUGGAGCAACAACACAAAAGUUAUCUCCACGUGAUCUAUAAAUCACGUGUUUGAGUUAUUCAUGCAGUCAUGAUUGUAUAUCACACUCUUAAGGGUGCGGUCCUUCCCUGGAUCUUACUAAUACAAAAUGUUUUGUGCACCAGACUGUCUUUAGAAAAUAAAUUAGGCAAAAAAAUAAAUACAACUUGAUUUAUAAAUGUUCAGUACAAUUUACAAACUAGAGAUCCUUACAACAAUGUAUUACUUUUUUGUAAUAAAAUUUACAUAUUUAAAAAUUAUGUUUAAAAGUAAUAUGAGUGUAAUAGUUAAUAAUUCAAAACAUUUUUAAAACAGUAGUUGUCAAAGAAAAAUUUCUUUGAUGUCAUAGAUAGAGUCACAUAAUGAGAAUUUUAAUUUGAUAACUAUUAUAUGCACAUGAUUAGUGGCAUACUAAGCAAAUUAUUCCAGUAGGCCAAAAAAAUUUACAUUUUGCUAUUGGAGUAUUAUGAAGUUUGGUACAUCUACAAAUAUUGGUUUGGUUAUUACCUUUCUGAAAUACCGGUAAAAUAUUCCAAUAUGUUUGAGAAGUGUUUCAAGAGAAAUAAGGGAUUUUUACUCAUAAAUGUUCAACUUUAUUUCAAGUGAGAUUUAUGUUCAUAUACAAUUUUAAGUCUUGUUUGAGUAUAAGAUGUUGAUAAAAUGCUCCCUGGCACAUUUAGUAAGCUUCAAGUCUUUACCAAUACAAAAAGGGGUGACUCGGUGCAUUAAGCUCGUACUAUAUAUGUGUGGCGUCUGAGGAAGUGCCAGACCAUUGGGUCUAUUUCUGCAGACAUACAUGGUAUGUUUCCAUGGCUCGAACAUUGUCGAAAGACUACUUACUCUUUCUUGUCAAAAUUGGUGAAAGGACCAUUCUAAUAAAUAAAAAAAAGAGAGGAGAAAAUGCCUUGAGCAGAAUGAAAGAAAAAACUAGAAAGCCAAUGAAAAUGAUUAUUCAUAUACUGCAAGAGUAACAGAUACUGUGCCUUUUCCUACAUAGAAUAUCCCUGAAGUCUUUUUUACACAAGUUUUGAUGCAAUCAAUGGAAUCCCCUGGAUCCUCUGGACUGGUAGAGUUCCAGCCUGCUUUUGGAUUCAUGCAACAAUGUCUCCGUCUUUUCAUCUCGGUUCAAGUGUGCCUGCUUUGAUGCCCAUUUGAGCACUGAAAGCACCUCGGCUUCAGCAAGCUCUUCGCUAUUAGGGACAUGCAAUGCAAUGUCACAUAGCAGAAGCAAUGCAGAAAACUGAACUACUUUUUCACCAAAGCAAACAAGUUGAACCAAAUGUCCUGCACCUCCAGCGCUUAUUAUUGCCUUGCAAUGAUUCAGGUGAAGGUAGUUCUCAUUGCAAGAAAAUUUCUUGAGGGAAAUGGCUGCUUCAUUUGAAAUCUCUGGUUCUCGUUGAUCGAGCAGCGUUACUAAUGGGCUAAUCAUCCUCGUCUCUGUAGCUCGAAAAGUCGUGGCCAAAUUCCCAAUUGAUCGAAUGCAUGGAACAAGCAGGUUCAAAUCUUCUUUCUUAAUGAUUCUCAACAGUUGAUCAACAACAGCUUUGCAAGCAGGUGAAUUAGGCUUGAACACUGACUUUCUCAAAUCAGGAUCUUUCUCCGCUACAGCUGUGAUUUCCAUUACUGCCAUCGCCGAAUGAUACUGAACAUCUUUAUCCCCUUUCUCCAAGAGUACUGCAAAGCAAAGCAGUGCUCUUGAAUCAGUAAUGCUAUGGCAAAUAGUUGAAUUUCCCUUGGCCAGUUUCCAUAAAGCUCUUGCAGCCAUUGCCUUCAUAUAAGCCUUGGUAUUAGGGUCCUCCGAUUCUCGCCCUUUAUUACUGACCCCUGUAGCAUAAUGACUCUGCUGAUGAUAUGUCUGUUUUGCAUCAUUGACCGGAAUCUGCUGAGACGCUUGCAUAGCCGUGGUGGCAGUAACCACAGUGUGCAUCUGAGUAGGCUUCUUAUUUCCUAAAGGAUGUGGAAUGUGGCUAUUAUCAUCAUCCUCAUUCACCUUGUGCACACUACUCACAUUACUAGCUGAAAGAACAGCAUCAAUCGACGUGGAUUUGCUAACAAUAGCAUACUUGCUAUGCUCCUGAACCGUCUCAAACGCGAGAUGGCUAACAAGUAAUCUGAUUAUGUUAUUCUGAUGAAAAACAUCUUGACAUUCGGGGUAAUGUGCAGCAAGUUCAGAAACUGCCCAAGCCACCACUGCUUGAACUUUCAUUAGACCUUCUUUGAGGAUUUUCACAAAAACCAAACACACCCCAGCAUUCACCAUGUGUUCGACACUUUCAGGGUCACAUCCUAGUAAUCCAAUUGCCUUUGCAGCAUUCUCCUGACCCUCCAAUUUCCCUUCCUUCAACAAUUUCAACAAUGGUCCUACUCCACCUUCUUCAAUGAUCAAUUUUCUGUUCCGAUCAUUAUCUCUAGCCAAUGAAACCAAUGAUGCAGCAGCAUCAGAUCGAUCAUUAACCGAACCAGUACACAAAAUGGCUAUAUGCUCCCAAAUAAAACACAAUAUAGGCUCAUUAGUAACAAUAGGAGGAAGUCCUAAGUACCUAUCAGCACCCUCUUCAGCUGAGGCAGAGACGCGGAGUAGCCACGACACAUUACUAAUAGAAUUCUCUAACUGUGAAGACAAGUUACGGAAAUCUGCAGAAGGUAUGAUGGUAAAUACGCGCUUCACUAGUCCCUGAGUGCAGCAUUUGGUAACAAUAGACAUAGCUCUUUCCAAAGUUUGUUCAGUAUCAUCAAUAAUUCGGCUCAUGGGUCGUUGAUAGAGCUCGUUGCUGGCUCGUGCUGCUUGACGAAGCAGCACAAUCAGCUUCUCAGUCUUGGACUUGAGCUCAGCACAUUCUUGACUGAAUAAAACAGCCUCAUCAGCUGCCUGGAUCACCUGAUCAGCUAAUUGAAUUGGAUUUGCCAAGAUUUGCUUAACUAUAUCCGCCAUCAACACUAUACUAGAAUAUUUGUUUUAUUACAAAGGGGAUUCAACAAGCGAAAAAAAUAGGAACUUACUUUUGCCUUAUUUAGAGCAAAUUGAACUCUGUUGCAUUCAUUCAAUAUAUGAUCUGUUCAAGAUGAGGAACUUUUGCUCUUCUUUGGCAGAAUUGCUAGAUCAAAAAUUCAAAAAUGAAGUUUUUAUUUAGCCAACUCAAGAAUCUUGCCGACAAAAACCAAGAAAUGAUGAGAAAUCAAUGACUAAAAAACUUUUGAGAAAGUGAGUAAUUGAUGUAACUUUUGCUUUGUCGUACGUACUACUAUAGUAUAUAUCAAAUGAAAAGGGAAAUGAAG